rnacentral:lncRNA from 1 species
GCAAUCAUAUACCAGGUCAUGAUCUAACAUUGGGUCGAGAUUUCUUAUGCAGGCAUAGUUGGACUUGAUGUUUCCCACCACACUUAUAUAUCAUGUUAUAAGUCAUAAAUACAUGUAGCUACUGAAAGACAAAAUCAUGUGUUAGUGUCUAAUGCCUCCUCACCACUCAAUGUGCAAUAUGAUGAGAUGUUUAUACAACUUGCUCUAUAUAAACACUUAACUACGCGUUACUAAAAUUCAUCACAAACUCACUUGUCCAAAGCCUGAACUACAAAAAAAUAUACAGUUCCUAGUGUUUUCUCAGUUUCUCUGGACUCUUAUCUGAAAGAUCUAUAGCAUCAUGGGUAUCCGUAUGCCUCGUAUUGCUAAUCUUAAACAGAUCCUUAACAGGUCGUCGUUCUUAUUAAAUCCUGAUCUUACGUCAACAAUUCCAAAGGGGUGCUUGGCAGUUUAUAUUGGGGAGAGGCAAAGAAGCCGAUUUGUGGUACCCAUUUCAAUCCUCAAUGAACCUGCCUUUCAAGGUUUGUUAAGUCAAGCCGAGGAAGAAUUUGGAUUCAAUCAUCCGGAAGGAGGUCUUACAAUUCCUUGCUCAGUGGACACAUUCAUCAAUCUCACGUCACACCUGAACAACUUAUAAUAGAAUUUUUUAUAUAUAUACUUUUAGAUAGGAUACCACCUCCGAUCUCAUUUGAUGAGCUUCUGAGUGUACAUUGUAGAACAGAGAUCUUUUCAUACAAACUUUGUAGGGAGCUCAUAAUUUGAUAAUAUCGAUAUCGCUUAUUCUCAUAAUUUGAUACAUUUUAUUUAUAUAAGCACAUAGCUAAGCAGUGGUUCAGAUCAUCACAAAUUCAAUUGUCUAAAGCCUUAUUCAUACAACUUUACCAGUCCUUAUGUUUCUCCAGUCUCCCUGAACUCAAUAUUGAGCAUCACGGGUUUUCGUUUGCCUAGUACUACUAAUCUCAAACAAAUUCUUAACUGGUCAUAUUUCUUGAUAAAUACUUAUCAUACUCCAACAAUUCCAAAGGGUUGGUUAGCAUACCUGAAUGAACCUGCCUUCAAGACUUACCAAUUCAACCUGAGGAAGAAUAUGGAUUCCAUCAUCCAGAAGUUGGCUUCCAAAUUCCCUGCACAGAGGACACGUUCCUUGACCUCACUUCGCGCCUAGAAAAUUAUAAUGAAAUUAAAAAGUUUAUCUAAUCUUAAAUAGCAUAGCAUCUCCAAACAUAUUUACUUAGAAAGAGGAUUUUAAAAUGCAUUAUAUAUGCAAGACAUAGUCAGAUACUUGAUUUGUACCAAGACACAUUAAUUAGAGUUUCUGGUUGAUACUGUUUCCGGUUAACAAAUUUUUAUCUGAAAACAAAUUACUAGCUCUCUCAAAGAUAAGAAUUGUUGUUGGAACAUAUCCAUAAUAUACACAACCUGCAAAACAAACCAACUAAAUAUGCCAAGGUAUAGCAGUCUAAGUGAGUUUGCUGGAGUGCAUCUGCAUGCUAAAUAUAUGACUUGUAAUACCAGCAACUAAACUAGAGACAGAUACAAAAUUCAAGGAAGAUACAAAAGGCUUGUUGGAUUGCAAGAGAAGUGAGUGUUGUGUUGGUUUUUGGAUGAGAAGAUAAAGGGCAGGGCGCGUCUUUCCCGGGGAUAUUCCGGGAGACGCGGCCCCCUGUCCCAAGACGCUGGCAUGAAGGUGAGAAAGAUCAAGGAGAGGGAGGGCGUGUCCUCUCUGUUAGGGCGCGUCCUCUGACUUGGCAAAGCAUACAAACUUUGUAGGGAGCUCAUAAUUUGAUAAUAUCGAUAUCGCUUAUUCUCAUAAUUUGAUACAUUUUAUUUAUAUAAGCACAUAGCUAAGCAGUGGUUCAGAUCAUCACAAAUUCAAUUGUCUAAAGCCUUAUUCAUACAACUUUACCAGUCCUUAUGUUUCUCCAGUCUCCCUGAACUCAAUAUUGAGCAUCACGGGUUUUCGUUUGCCUAGUACUACUAAUCUCAAACAAAUUCUUAACUGGUCAUAUUUCUUGAUAAAUACUUAUCAUACUCCAACAAUUCCAAAGGGUUGGUUAGCAUACCUGAAUGAACCUGCCUUCAAGACUUACCAAUUCAACCUGAGGAAGAAUAUGGAUUCCAUCAUCCAGAAGUUGGCUUCCAAAUUCCCUGCACAGAGGACACGUUCCUUGACCUCACUUCGCGCCUAGAAAAUUAUAAUGAAAUUAAAAAGUUUAUCUAAUCUUAAAUAGCAUAGCAUCUCCAAACAUAUUUACUUAGAAAGAGGAUUUUAAAAUGCAUUAUAUAUGCAAGACAUAGUCAGAUACUUGAUUUGUACCAAGACACAUUAAUUAGAGUUUCUGGUUGAUACUGUUUCCGGUUAACAAAUUUUUAUCUGAAAACAAAUUACUAGCUCUCUCAAAGAUAAGAAUUGUUGUUGGAACAUAUCCAUAAUAUACACAACCUGCAAAACAAACCAACUAAAUAUGCCAAGGUAUAGCAGUCUAAGUGAGUUUGCUGGAGUGCAUCUGCAUGCUAAAUAUAUGACUUGUAAUACCAGCAACUAAACUAGAGACAGAUACAAAAUUCAAGGAAGAUACAAAAGGCUUGUUGGAUUGCAAGAGAAGUGAGUGUUGUGUUGGUUUUUGGAUGAGAAGAUAAAGGGCAGGGCGCGUCUUUCCCGGGGAUAUUCCGGGAGACGCGGCCCCCUGUCCCAAGACGCUGGCAUGAAGGUGAGAAAGAUCAAGGAGAGGGAGGGCGUGUCCUCUCUGUUAGGGCGCGUCCUCUGACUUGGCAAAGCUACCGAUGUGAAUAAAUGAUGUGUGAGGGAGGAUGAGUGAGUCUCCGUGACGACCCUUUCGGGGAUAUGAAGACUAGUUACCAAGCUCAUUUGGUAGUUACCAAGCUCAUUUGGUAGUUGUCAGGCUCAUCUGACAGUUCCCGGGCUCAUCCGGGCAUGAUCUAUAAUCCUCAAUCCUGUAAUCUGCCUAGUUAACCCUUGUGUGGGGGCUUGAGGUGAUCAUGAUUCUUGAAGGCCCUCCGGGGUAAUAUGAAGGCCGAUCAUAUGUCUGGAUCCUGUAUUCUGGUGAGUUAGCCCUCAUCGGGGGAUUGAGACGAUCGUGUAAUUUGGCUCCUUGUCUACCUUGUUUGAAGAUGAAGACCUCACCGAGAGGUGAGGACAUGUCCCUGCACCUCGAGGGGUUAGCCAUGGCUCUCCCAGAUAACUUCUCCAUAAGAGUCGUGGUAGAUGCUAUCUCUCGUAGUGGAGAUAUCGUUGAAUCCGUGAUCUAUUUGGAUUAGGAGUCUGGGGUAGUCAUACUCAAGACUAAUUCUAACAGGAGUAGGAUUCUCCAAGAUGGGCCUUCGGCCUAUCUCCGACCUUAUCGCCAAGAGGCCUAGUCCUGAUCAAACUAGGACUCUUGGUCCAAUAGAACUACGUAUGGCUUGAUCCCCUAUAAAUAGGGGUACGUAGGCACAUUGGGGGAUCAUGAGUUGAGAGCACGUGAGACCAACUCAAAACCCUAAUCUCAGCCACCCCCUAAAACAAACAACCACCACUCUCCGGCGACCAAAACCACCGUCACGGAUCUUGAUUCCGGCCAUGAACCUCAUCUUUGUUGAUUACCAAAUUCCUCUAUCAACAAAUUGGCGCUAGAAGGAGGGGCUAUUCAAGAUCUUCAUCUUAGGAGGAAGAGAUGUCACACGACGGAGAUUCGCACGUAGAGGAGGAGCGUUUUCCGGCAGGGCGAUGGCUAGAGCACAAAAGAGGAGGAGACCUUCAUCUACUUUUUCAGAAAAAGGACGAUAUCUCCAUCGGGAGUUUGAAGGAGGACGAUCAUCAACGAAAUUCUAGGAGGUAACCUAAUUUGCGAUCAGGGUUUUCUGGACCGGGAAGUCAGCGAAGGAUGUGAUUUUCGGAGACCUGACACCUACGAAGAGGGUACGCCUCCCCCGGACAGAGUACGCCUCCCCCGGACAGAGUACACCUCCCCCGGACAGGGUACACCUCCCCCUGACAGGGUACGCCUCCAAGUGAUGUGGUGCUCGACUACCACCGUGAGGAACGAAUUCCCUAACACCUCCGAAGAAGGCGCACCUCCGGGUAAGAUUCUCACAAUGCUUUCGCAUGUUAUUGCUAACAAGUCUGUUGUGGUUUGAGUCUUUACGAGAAGGAGAUCGCCUCCCUGGAAGCCUCAACGGUUUUCUGAAGGGGCGCGCCCUCCCCAGAGCAAGUAAUUUGAGGUUCGCGAGAGGCGCAUGUUGAAGGCCUGACCACAUGUGAUGAUAUGAACGGGAAAGUUACGAAGGGCGAGCUAUUGAGAUGGAACCUAGCUCGAAAAGUCGUAAGGAUGCGCGCCUUCCCCUGACCGGGCGCGCCCUCAGGUAAAUACUAAACUCCCCCAGUAUUUGGUUCCCUAAGACUACUACAUGUGUAAAUUCACAGGUAAUAUGGUGUUACCUUUAAGAGGAGUACACCUCUUCUCCGUGAGGAGUAGUCGCACUUUCCUCCAACAAGGCGCGCCCUCCUAAAGGGGUACGCCAUAUCCAACCAGUAUUCUAUCAGAGAACGAAUUGCGCGCCUCCCUCUGACAGGGCGCGCCCUCUGGUAUGUCUGAUGCAUUAAUUGCUUCAUAUGAUAUUUUGUGAAGACAAACAUACUCAGGAAGGAGCUCACUAGUCUUAAAGAGAUCACGUCCCUCCCUGGGGCGCGCCCUCUCGGAAGUACUCAUCACUUGAGGAAGCGCAUGAGGGCGCGCCCCCAGGAUAAUAAGGUUGAGAAGGGAGAUGCUUCAAAGACGCGCCUCCUCCUAGUUGGACGCACCCCGAGUUCCAAAGUCAUGUUUCCAGGGUUGAUAAUUUGGGAGGACGCGUCUUCCCCUAACAGGGCGCGUCGUGAGGUAACACUGACCAUCAGUAUUAAGUCGUAUACAUGAUAAAGUGCAGGUCAAGUCCAACAUGCUAAAGGAGCUGUCCAUCUUGAUGAGGGCGCGCCCUCCGUUCUACAGGAACGUAGCAUGAUACCUGCAAGGUCUUUGAUCAAGGUACACUUAAGGCCUUUCAAAGGUUACCAAAUUAUCCAUGACCAGCUCUGGGUACUAUGAAUUUUAACCAUCCAUGAUACGCUCUGGAUGUCAUCCACGAUCUACUCUGGAUGCUAUGAUUAUUUACAUAUCCAUGAUACGCUCCGGAUACUAUAUUUGCGCAUCCAUGAUACGCUCUGGACAUUAUACUUGCGCAUCCAUGAUACGCUCUGGAUCUUACAUAUCCAUGAUAUGCUCUGGAUAACAUUUUAUACUAUUCAUUCCCCAUUGAGCUAUGAGCUCUGGGACCUGUGCGAUGCACCGGAGUUAUGUAAACCACGAUAAGAUUCGUGAUGCCCCAUAUGGGAAGAUGUAUGGACUGGGGAGUGGUCCUCUUGAUUUUCUUAAGCAAGUGAUUCACGCGUGAAAAAGUAAAGAUGCGCCAAAGGCCGCGCCCUCUACUUAAUCCUUGGAAAAGAUCAAAAGAGCCCACAUUACAAGUAAGGCUGCGCUCUCUGCUUAUACAGUCCUUGAAAGAAAAGAAAUAUUGCAAGGCAGUGCCAUCAGCCGCGCCCUCUGCUUAGGCAAUCCUUUAACAAAAAGANNNNNNNNNNNNNNNNNNNNNNNNNNNNNNNNNNNNNNNNNNNNNNNNNNNNNNNNNNNNNNNNNNNNNNNNNNNNNNNNNNNNNNNNNNNNNNNNNNNNNNNNNNNNNNNNNNNNNNNNNNNNNNNNNNNNNNNNNNNNNNNNNNNNNNNNNNNNNNNNNNNNNNNNNNNNNNNNNNNNNNNNNNNNNNNNNNNNNNNNNNNNNNNNNNNNNNNNNNNNNNNNNNNNNNNNNNNNNNNNNNNNNNNNNNNNNNNNNNNNNNNNNNNNNNNNNNNNNNNNNNNNNNNNNNNNNNNNNNNNNNNNNNNNNNNACAGGGUACGCCUCCAGGUGAUGUGGUGUCUGACGACCACCGUGAGGAAUGCAUCCCUUGACACCUACGAAGAGGGUACGCCUCCCCCGGAUAGAGUACACCUCCCCCGGAUAGAGUACACCUCCCCUGGACAGGGUACACCUCCCCCGGAUAGAGUACACCUCCCCUGGACAGGGUACACCUCCCCCUGACAGGGUACGCCUCCAAGUGAUGUGGUGCUCGACUACCACCGUGAGGAACGAAUUCCCUAACACCUCCGAAGAAGGCGCACCUCCGGGUAAGAUUCUCACAAUGCUUUCGCAUGUUAUUGCUAACAAGUCUGUUGUGGUUUGAGUCUUUACGAGAAGGAGAUCGCCUCCCUGGAAGCCUCAACGGUUUUCUGAAGGGGCGCGCCCUCCCCAGAGCAAGUAAUUUGAGGUUCGCGAGAGGCGCAUGUUGGAGGCCUGACCACGUGUGAUGAUAUGAACGGGAAGGUUACGAAGGGCGAGCUAUUGAGAUGGAACCUAGCUCGAAAAGUCGUAAGGGUGCGCGCCUUCCCCUGACCGGGCGCGCCCUCAGGUAAAUUAGGANNNNNNNNNNNNNNNNNNNNNNNNNNNNNNNNNNNNNNNNNNNNNNNNNNNNNNNNNNNNNNNNNNNNNNNNNNNNNNNNNNNNNNNNNNNNNNNNNNNNNNNNNNNNNNNNNNNNNNNNNNNNNNNNNNNNNNNNNNNNNNNNNNNNNNNNNNNNNNNNNNNNNNNNNNNNNNNNNNNNNNNNNNNNNNNNNNNNNNNNNNNNNNNNNNNNNNNNNNNNNNNNNNNNNNNNNNNNNNNNNNNNNNNNNNNNNNNNNNNNNNNNNNNNNNNNNNNNNNNNNNNNNNNNNNNNNNNNNNNNNNNNNNNNNNNNNNNNNNNNNNNNNNNNNNNNNNNNNNNNNNNNNNNNNNNNNNNNNNNNNNNNNNNNNNNNNNNNNNNNNNNNNNNNNNNNNNNNNNNNNNNNNNNNNNNNNNNNNNNNNNNNNNNNNNNNNNNNNNNNNNNNNNNNNNNNNNNNNNNNNNNNNNNNNNNNNNNNNNNNNNNNNNNNNNNNNNNNNNNNNNNNNNNNNNNNNNNNNNNNNNNNNNNNNNNNNNNNNNNNNNNNNNNNNNNNNNNNNNNNNNNNNNNNNNNNNNNNNNNNNNNNNNNNNNNNNNUAGACAGUCUUGGUCCAAUAGAACUACGUAUGGCUUGAUCCCCUAUAAAUAGGGGUACGUAGGCACAUUGGGGGAUCAUGAGUUGAGAGCACGUGAGACCAACUCAAAACCCUAAUCUCAGCCACCCCCUAAAACAAACAACCACCACUCUCCGGCGACCAAAACCACCGUCACGGAUCUUGAUUCCGGCCAUGAACCUCAUCUUUGUUGAUUACCAAAUUCCUCUAUCAACAGAUAACAUGGUCCGGAGAGACUGUCAUAUGUUCAACUGCUUUCCAGAAUGGCGAGUCAGUCUUGUAAAUAUCUUGUCAUUCUAUACGUAGGGUCACAUGAGCUGGACAGUCAAAAUAUCCUAGAAUUAUACUUUUUAGGUGAAAAACCGAAUAAAAUCAGGGAUGUAUUGUAGCCUUGAAGGGUGAAAAUAAUGAGAGAAACUAUCAACUGUAAAGAAUUGCCAAGGUUAAUGGGAAAGCUUAAUUUAAGUCUAAAAAAAUGAAGCCUUAUGUUUGGACUAAAUGGUCUCGGGCCUCUUGGCUAAUCUGGUCAAAGAAUAUGAUUGUUCCUUUUAGAAAAUGGCAGGCCUCUUUAUACUCUACCGCUUUAGUCAACACUUUCAAGCAUGUUUUUAUCACUUUAUAAUCAUCUUUUAUACCACUUAAUCUUGUAAUUUCUAUCAAAUUUAGCUGAAUCUACAGUUUUAUCACGUUUAUCAUCACCAAAUUGAAAUAUGAUCUCACUCUUUUGUUGAAGAGUCUAUACAGCGGCGCAGCAAUGUGAAGUUCUGGGAAGCCAUUUGAUGCGUACUCCAAGUCCUUUGCUGAGAACAAGAGAGUCUGAGACAAGGUCUUAAAGUAAUUUUCUGUAAACUAAUAAUUGGAAAACUAAUAUCGAACACUACCGCGUUUUGAGGAUGAUUAUUAGUAGCCUUCUUCUCAAUAUGAUUUCAAAAAUGAAUCUAUAGCUUUAAUAACAACAUGACAGUUUAACUAAAUUUAUAAACAUUCAUUAAAUACAUCUCUGGUGUUAUUAUUCGAUAAAUUACUAAGUUAAAUAUAUUAAUAAAUUAUUUUUAAAUAAUAUUUUAAUAAAAUAAAUUGUAUGGUUCCAAAGACAAUUUAUUCAUCGAGACUCAGGAGAGUAGGUUGGAAUAUUUUUGGUGCUAACAAAUUUUAAUCAUUUAUCGAAAUAAUAUAAAUUGUGAGUUGAAAAACACAUAAAAAUCAUAUAAGCAUUUCUAACGAUAUUAGUUAAAUACAAUAAUGGAAACUACUGAAUAGAGUACAUCGAUUACUAACACAUCGUCUUCCAACAGAUUUUAUUCUUCUUCGAACAUUUUCUACAUUUCUAACAUACUGCAUGUUAUUUUGCAACUUAAUUUAUAUUUGUUCGAUCAUACUCCUUUCUUGCUCUCGAAACCACACUGCUAAUCUAACGAAGGAUAAAGAAACCGAUUCAAAUACCACGAUCUAUCUCUCUUCCCCAUUCCAACGCCGCCGUUACAAUCAAACCCACACCCACACUGCGGACUCUCCUCGAAAUUCUCAACAUCAAAAUCCGCCGAAACAAUCCCUACCGAAAACUCCAAUUCAUCCCCGUCUCUACUAACUUCACCGAUAUUCAACCAAAACAGCAGCACCUUCACACUUAUCCCGCUCAAAUCCUUGAGCUUGUUCGUCGAGAUCGUCCCGGAUAUAGUCGACUUGUACUUGAGCGUGUAGCCUUCCACGUCAAACUGGCACGAAUCGUCCAAAUAGACUUGGAACUUGCCCGUGUUCGUGUCGAGUUCGUAUCGUGUUAUGCCGACGGGGAGCAGGCCUACAGGGAAGUUGUAUUGUUGGAGGACUUCGUAGACUGAGGGAGUGGAGGUGGAGAGGAGAGGGAGAGAUAUGAGGAGGGAGAUGAGAAGGUGAAGUGAAGACAUUGUGUUUGUUGAGUUUAGAACAAGGUGUUAGGUGUGUGUUUGUAUAUGUAGAACUCAGUAGAAGAAUGGUUGAGUGAUGGGCCACGUGGGUGUUUAAGACCUUUCUGCGAUGAGAUUAAGGCUCGGUAGUCUUUGGUGAACUUGUCAGUGUAGGACUAGGAAUUAAAUGCGUUGGAUGUUCAAGUGUGACGCCACGAAUUUCAUCUUGCGCACGGGAUUUUAUGAUAAUUAUUUAGCUAUGAUCUCGCAGUUUUUUUUACGAGCACUGGACGAUAGAUUUGAGAUUGUGCAACACUUACACACGUUAUUUGUGCUUAGGCUCCACGUGUUUACCUAUCAUUUCCCGAAACAAGUCGAUCACAUGGCACGACUUAUUUCUUUCUGUUGCCGAUAUUUUGUUAAAACUAAAUUCAACGACUUAAGACGGAGUGGGUUGAUAAUUGAUAUCAUCUGAUAAGAAAUGAUAGGCGUUAAUUGGGCCAGCAUUUCAAAAGUUUGAACAACAUGAUUUUUGGCCCAGAACUAAACCCAAACCACACUCGCAUCGGUGACUACUAUUAAAUCACCAAGACACCAACUACAGUAGAUAAUCCACGUGGGAACGAAGAAGAAAAAGAAAUCGCCGUGCUAUUUUUGGGUUUUUAUUUAAUAAUUUAUGUGAAUGUAAGGUAUAAAUUUGUUAGCCGGUGGAAAGAGCAAGCAGAUUGUAGCUGUAUUUUACUUGUGUUUAUUUGAAUGGAACGGUGAGGGAUUAAAAUCAAAUUUCUACUAUAUUAAGAAAUAUCGGAUAAAUAUUUAUAAUUUUCAUCAUAUCAUUUCAUACUAUCUAAAAUAAAAAUUAACACACUUAUUUUGAGUGGAAUGUUCCCAUUUCCUCACUAUUUUCACAAAAUUCGUUCGCUAUUAUCUUACAUAUUGUUAUUUCUCCUUUAAAUUAUAUUUAUAAUUUUUCAUUAUGUUCCUUGCUCUAGUAAUGUUUAUUGAAGUUCUUUGUCAAAUUAUAUAGUAGAUUAUAUAACAAUAUUUUAAGGGUAGUGUUAAGAAUCCCAAAAUUUGUUUUCAAAUAAUUUUUUCAAAAGACGUGACAGACAUAUGACGAAUUUUGGUUGGGUGGUUUAUGUGCAUACAGGGUCUCAUUAUUUAUUAGUAUGAGUGUAACUAAUCUGGUAUUACCACAUAAAUUUAGGAACAAAUUCUGAGAUAUUUAGCAUUUUUCAUAUUUUAAGGGCCCCAACUCCUUGCAAGCGUUUUUGUAGCAAUCUAUUUAACUAAUUUUUCGCACAAAGAGAUUACGUUGUAUUUUUAAUGAGCAUGCAGGAUUUAUUAGCCAAUAUGCGGUUUAGACAUUCAUUUUAAAGUUUUUUUCCCUCGGUAUUUUAUCGUGGUGAAAACAAUCAAUUAUUAAGACAAUCUCGUAUAACUAAAUAAAAUGUAUUUUUUUUUAUCAAAAACAGCACCAAAUACAUGCUAUUAUAUCAUUCCAAACAACAAAUGAAGUUUGUGUUCAAUAUUAUGCCCACUAGAACGUAUGAAAUGUGUGUUCAACAUCAUGCUGAAUAGAACUUAUGGAGAAAAUUUUAUCAAUGCUCUAAAUGUUCUUCGACUCACAACUGUCCCAGUCGCUGUUAAGGGGCAAGAAGGGGUAACUAAUCAAAUUAAACAGCGCUUGCGUAACCAGGCUAGUAUAAUUGUGCCUUAAAUCUCCAAUUAAAUUCCUGCGCCAUUUUUGUUAAGGCAGAUCUCAACUAGAGCUCUUGAAAAACUUUUUUUGAAAAUAACGAUAAAUGGACGAUAAGGAAUAAGAGAGAUUAAGAGAGAAAUGACGUCAUUGAAGGACAUGAUCCAACAGUCAUAAACUUUCCUCAAACAAACAAAAGUGUCGACAAAAAUAGUCCUCAAAUGACCGGAACAUUUGUGUGAAAAUGUGAAACAAGUCCUCAAAUGACAAGAAAAAUCAGGACUUGAAUGUGUUUAAAAUUGUCCUCAAAUGAUUGGAAAACGUCUAAGACAUAAUAAUCUUCUAAUGACAAGAAAUGAAGCAUCUGUCAGGACAAUGAAAAUUAUAUGUAAUACAAUCUAAUCUAAUUGUUUAUUAAAAACAGUAAUAUAAUAUAAUUUAAUUGUUUAUUAGAAACAAGUAGUAGUUUGUUCCAAGAAUUUCUUAUUGUAUUCAACGACUUGGGGGGGAAUAUUAAACAACUUUCUUUUAAUUCAUUAGUUUGAAGGGGAGUUUAAGCAGUGAGAAGGGUAGUAGAGUUUUUGAUUUAUAUAUAUGUGUGUAUGUGUAUGUAUAUAUACAGUGUGUGAUCUAAUUGUGAAGAAACGUAGCCCUUUUCAGUAAAGUAUAUUACUACUCCUUCCGUCCCACCAGGAUGUUUACGUUCACUGUUUGCACGCAUUUUGAGACUCCUAUGUAAAGUAUAGUUCAAUAGCAUUUUUUUAAUUUAUUUAUUUUUUGAAUAAAAAUUUACACGUCAAACUUUUUUUUUCCAUGAGCUUUUUUGAAAAAAAACAUUAUGAAACUAUACUUUACAGAAAUCUUAAAAUACAUGCCAAAAAGUAGCGUAAAGAACUUGAUGGGACGGAGGGAAUAUCUCUUUGUUCAUUACUUUGUUCCACCUAUUUUUGAAUCUCAAACUAAGUUAUUAACUGCCUUACAAAAUUCUUCAUUGUUUCCUUGAAAGAUUGAAUAAAUAAAGCGGAUGCUUGCUGUUAAAUACUCUGGAUAAGACCUAAUACAAGUACAAGUAGGUGUACGUUCAUAUAAUUCUGGUAUUUUGAAUGGUACAAGUGGGAAGAUUUUUAUGAAUAGCCGGAAUAGCAUAUAAUCACAAGGAAAGCUACUCAUCCUUUGCUAUGCUUUAUUCGCAAGUGAGCUUUCGGCAUUUAGCUUUGAGAACACCAAAUUGCCCCCGUCUCCCAUGCCUCUGCCUCUUGAAUCACGAAAUGAUCAGAUUAUGGGAGAGUGUCCACUCAAAUCACCCAGAUAAGGUCGGAUAUAAUAUGCAUGUUGCAGGCUGUACUAAAGCUUUAGAUGAUGCUCUUUUAAUUCCCCUCUUGUGUACUGAGGUUGGAUGCCUUCCUUUCAAUAUCAAUAAAUUCUUCUCUUGCACUUUUUGUUCUACCUUUUAAACUCAUUUCUUGUUUUAGGCUUUAGCUAUAAACAUGAGCAUGUUCGGCCCUACUUAUUUUUUACGAAUCAUGAUUUAUGUUUGAAAAGUUAAAUUAUAUUUUCAUAAUCAUAUAAAGAGUAAAGUUCUAUGGAGUACAUAAAAUAUUGGGGUAUUGGAGUACAAAAUUGGAUAAAAUGUAUUCAUUCAUCUAAAUUUUAAUUUUUUUUGUUCAAUAAUAUUCGGAAACAUUUAAUAACCUGCACAUUAUAUUCUACAACAUAAACAUUCUAAUCAAAAGAUAGAAUAAUGACUUUUAUAAAUUAUAGGACUCUAUGUUCUGCAAUAUAACUAAUAAGCAGAACAAUAAUGUUAAUACUUGUUAAAGUUGAAAGAUAUUAACGAUUGAUAGACAAUUAUGUGCAAGACAACUUAUAAAUGAUAGAUUGUAUAUAAAUUUGCAUAAUCAAAUAUAUUAUUUACCACCAAAACCACCGUCACGGAUCUUGAUUCCGGCCGUGAACCUCAUCUUUGUUGAUUACCACAUAAAAUCAUGUUCAUAAUAAAAAUCGAGAUGUUUUUACAUGCUCCUGAUUUAUAACUCCUAAUUUAUGUGUUCUUUGUGUAAAAAGAUUAUAAGUCAAUUCUAACUUAAACAUUAUACUCCCUCUGUCCCUCUUUUCUUUACGUUAUUUUUUGGCACGUUUUUUCACACUCAUUUAAAAUAUAGUUCCGUAAUUUUUUUUUAAAUUUUUAUUCUCUGAAUAAAAAUUUGAUGUUUAAACUUUUAUUCAAAAAACAAAAUAAAAAAAAAAGUCAUGAAACUAUACUUUAUAGGAGUCUCAAAAUGCGUGCAAACAGUGCAUGUAAACUACCACGGUGCACGGGGGACCGAGGGAGUAUAAGAAAUUGAAAAUACUAGUUUCUUAAAUGAAUUAUUGUGUUUGAAAUUUGAUUUUAUCAAAAUAAGUAGGAACACUUUGAAAAUACUCUAUCAUUUUUUAUUAUUAUAUGGAUAAUUUUUAUACUUGUGAAUAUUAAAAAAAGUUAUUCAAAUAUAUAAAUUAAAAAUUAUAUCUCAUUUAUUAAUUGUCUUCAUUUAUAACUAAAUAUAUUUUUUAAAAUUAAGCCAAAAUGAAGAGAGAUAAGUUUUAAGGUUGAAAUGUACUCAUUUGACAAAAAACUAUAAUGUGUUACAAUCUAGAUUUUACCAAGUUGCACAAUCACAUAGGAACAAACCGACUCUAAAUUCUGCUUUCUGCAUGCAUAUAAAUAUCUCUCUACCCCCGACUUUCACCGAAUCAUCUCUAGCCAACUCACUCAUUAUAUACCACACCAUCCUUCCUCUCCAGUGUCUAUACGCACACACAACAUAUCGAAAAUUCUCUCAUCGAACACAAACACCAGAAAACAUCAAAUUAACAUGGAUGACAAAUACACUCCGCACGUAAAUAUCGAAAAAUCGAGCACCCAUCUCACGAACUAUGCUUAUAGUAGCAAGGUCAUGUUAAUCUCCGUCAUUGUACUCUUCGUUUUCUCCGUCACCUUCGCUAUUUUUCACCUCUACUCUCGCUUCGUUCUCCUCCGCCGCUCUCGUAAUCUAAUCCGUCUUCGUCAUCAUCGCACUUCAUUUACCGAUGAUUCGCCGCUCUCUUCUACCGAAAAGGGGCUCGCGCCGUCCAUUUUAAAUUCGCUUUCGACGUUUGUUUUUGUCAACAAGGAUAAUAACGCAUCGCUUGACUGCGCGGUCUGUUUGUCCGAGUUUGAGAAAAAUGAAACGGGUCGGAUCUUGCCCCGGUGUAACCACGGGUUUCAUUUGGAGUGUAUUGACAUGUGGUUUUUGUCGAAUUCGACUUGCCCGUUGUGUAGAGCUCCGGUUCAGUUGUGUCCGGUUUCGGAGCCGGGUCGUAACCGGGUUGAUGUGGUUAUUGAUAUCGAUCGGGUGGGUCCUGACCCGGUUCGGUCCGGUUUGAGCUCAAACCACAGCUGUAAUAGAAUGGUUUAUUCCUCAUCGUCUUCUUCUUUGCCGCAAUUGCUGAAUUGUGCAAGUGUGAAUAGGGGUACUGGGCUGGAUGUAAGGGUCGGGUCGGAUUCUAGAAUAGGGUCUAAACCGAUGGGUCAACCUGCAAGGUCCUUGACCAGGCUCAUGAGCAUUUAAUUGCAGUUGUUUAUUGUCAAAACUGUUUGUAAAUGCUGGCACUUGAACCGGCGUGUCGUGCUGUGGUGAAGACACGUUGCAAUGCUGUCGUACACCUCAUAAACCUUUAUCUAUAAAUAUAAAAUUUAAUUUUAUGCGUUAAUUACACAGUGAAUUCAAAUGUGACCACCGUAAAAUGUCUCUUCGUGUUAAGGGUUGCCGAGCGCUUAUCCUUAGGGCUGUAAAAUGAUCCGGUGAUCCCGGGUACCCCUCUGCUCAAGUACCGGAUCAUAUUAUAUUUAGCUUGUCCAGAUUUGGGUCUGGGAUCGUUUUAUUCGGAUCUAAACCGAUCCCGAGUAUUUGAGAUUCGGCUCAUCUAAUUACUAUUUGUCUUGAAAAGAUGUAGUUAAAUUUUAUGAAAGAUUAUUACAUAACUCCUAUCUUUUGCUAAAUUCAUGUAGAAAUCGAUGUUUUGAAUUACAAAUGAUCAGCUAAUGCUUUACCUAAUAGAUUGACAUCAAACGUCUCACAUCCUCAGUCAUUUAUAUACACUUUUUGAACAGUUCAAAAAAAGUUAUUUUCUGAAAAGUGCAUUUAUACAACGGCCGUUUGUCUGAAUUUAAAAUAAAUGUUUUUUGCUUAAGGUAAAUAAAGUGGAGUAGAAAUAAGAAAUUAAUCAAGACUUAUAAGUGAUUAAAGUGUUUGUUAAAAAAGUAAAAGUCAUGAAAUAAAAGCUAGAAUUCUUAACUUUUUAUAAGUUUUUGAGUAAAUGACAAAGUGGUGGCUAUAAUUUUUCAAAUUUUACAAUAUAGUGGCCGAACUUUAAAAACUACAUAAUGGUGGCCGGAGUUUACUUUCGUCUUUUAAUAAGGUGGCCGCCGUGAAUCUCCGUUAAUUUUCCUCCGUUAACCCCGAAAAAUAAGAGUAAACGACAAAGUGGUGACUAUAGUCUUCCAAAUUUUAUAAAAUGUUGGCUGGAUUUUCAUCAUUUUUUCAUUUAUUUUUUUAUUUUUUGAAGUUAACGGAGGAAAAUUAACAAAAGUUCACGACCACCACCUUAUUAAAAGGUGGAAGUAAACUCCGACCACCAUUAUGUAGUUUUUAAAGUCUAGCCACCAUCUUGUAAAAUUCGAAAAACUACGGCCACCAAUUUGUUAUUUACUCUAAGUUUUUUUCAACUUUUUACACAGUACAAAUAAUUGUUUCUAACUUAUAACUCCAACUAGCGGAGCUUAAAAGCUCCACCCAAACACCCAUUAUACACUCUGCCUUAUCUAUGCAUUUCAUUAAUUAAAAACAUAUUUCUUAGAAGUUAUUUUGGUAUCGUCUAUACUAAAAUAUGCUAGUCGUACUCUCGAAAGAGAAACAAAUAUAUAAAUUAGGAAUAUUAAUAUAUAUAAAUAAAGAAAAAAAUGGACUAAGAAAACGUGCUUGUAACUUGUAAGGUCCAUAAGUCUUAACAUGCCGAUCUUAUUUGUCGAUAAUUUAAUAGCAGAAUAUAAUUUACAAUGUGAUGACUAAACUACCCUCGAAACUGGCCGACGCCUACGACCACGAGAGACAAAAUGGUAAUACCGUGGCCAAGUGAAACCCCCUGCCCCUGUCGGAGCAGAUAAGUAACAACCCACCCUUAUCCCACGUGUCAAACUAUGCGCGUGUCUCUCACGCGUUCAGACACAUUUUCUCGCGUCUUCUCCGGCAACCUUGUAAGUUGUAAUAACAGCGUAUACAUAGAGAUCAGAUAGUACAGCCACAGAAGAUGUAGAAAAAACAGAGCAUGAAGACGAUGGCGACUGACUCCAACGCGCUUAUUACAGACCACAAUAGCGUGUCGAUGAUGGAGAAAUCGAGGGUGGGCAUGAACCGGUGAAUGUCCUCCGGUCUCCAGCUGGGCAGGAAUCCCGAUAAGAGGAGCCUCGGCCACCGGAAAAGUGAGGUGGGGAGGCUCAUACUCACUUCCACCCACCUGAAUGCCGAUCCCCACCCCUCCAUUCACAGCUCUCUCUCUCUCUUAAUUAUAAUAUUUAUAUACCUAAAUAUCUUCUUACCAAAUGGCUGACAAACAAGAUAUAUUCUUACAAAGUGAUUUCGUGAAUCAUAUUGCUAUAUAUGCUCUGGAGCAUUUGAUUCUAUAUUGGAAAUAUUCUAAAAUAUUAUAGAUUUAUCAAACUUUUUCUCAAAUAAUAGGACACACGUAUGAAUAACUUUAAUUGAUUAAUUUAUGUGUUUAUAAAAGAAUUUAUUACAAUUAAUACGAGUAUAACCAAUUUUGGGUGUUUAACAUUUUUAAAAUAGUUUCUGAUUGUUUUUUAAUAUAAAUUUUAUUAAUUAUAUUCUGAUUCGACUAAUUAAUCCUAAUUUAACGAUAAUUUUUUUAAUAAAUUUUUAGUGAUAGAUCAAAUAUAAUUUAUAAUUCUUACCUAUUAGAAUGUGAUAUGCGUGUGGAUGAAUACCUGUUACUAUAUACUCCUUCCGUCCUAUUUUACAUGUCCCCAUUUGCCUUUUGACCGGUCAAAUUGAUCAAAUUUUGACUAAAUAUUACAAAUUAUCUUUUCAUUAUUUUCGAAAUCUGAAAGUUGCAUAUUAAAAUACACUAAAUAUACUUUUUAAUGAUAUAAUUUUUAUUAUUUUUUGAAUUAUAUGAUAUAUGUAAAAUUUCGGUCAAAACAUAUUCAAUUUGACUGGUCAAAAGUCAAACAGGGACAUGUAAACGGGGAUGGAGGGAGUAAAAUAUUAGAGCAUCUCCAACCAUCUAAAACCCUUGGCUAAAAUGUGAGUUGGCAUGCUUAAAAUAAAAAAAUUUAGCCAAACAGCUCCAAAAACUCAACUCCAACCAUGAUCAGUUGUUGUCUAUAAAUUUAGCCAACCUCCUAUGGAUGGCUAAAUUUGUCGAACCUCUACAGGUCUGUAAGAAAAUCUAUAAGAAGAUUGUACAUCAUUUAUUACCAUAUUGAACUGAUAUAUUCUAUUUUAACAAUUUUAAAUAUUAAUAAAAUAUUAUUUUUAAAUUAUAGCCAACCAAUAUAGCCAAUACCAUUGAGGCAAAAUGUCUUACAGGUUCAGUAAAUUUUACAUAAUGUCUUACAGGUCCAAUUUAGCCAACGAUUAUAGCCAACGUCGUUGGAGAUGCUCUCUCCUAUAAAAAUAAUGUGAAAGUAUUAGCCAUCAUUUAUAGCAUGAUAAUAUCUGGUAAUUUUGUGGGACCUGGACUUAAUGCGUGGUUGACUAGAACUCAUGAUCAACCGUAAUUGUUGUUAGAUAUUUUUUUAUUAUUAAUUUCUAAUAUUGGGUCUGCAGUUUACAACUGAUUCUAAUAGUUGAUUCUAAACAAAUGAUCAGUAGAACAAGAAGAAGGAUAUUUGGACUAGUUGAGGGAAUAAUUAUAGCAUCUGGUUCUUAAUCCUGAAUAUUACUAGACUUUUUUCAGUCAAUCUGGUUGUUAAGGAUUAGCAGCAAGCAUUAGUUUUCAGUUUUCACUUUCUUGGUUUGUGGGAUAAGUUGAGCUCUAUUGUUUAGUGUUUUCACCAGCAACAACAUUCGUCCUUUUCCACUACGUACUUAUCAUUGAGAAAAUCAACAUGAUCUAUGUAAGUAUUCUUCAUAAGCUCCUCAGCAACUUGAGCAGGAGCACUUGAACGCUUCCUAAAAGCUCUUUCCCNUGAUGCUUGAUGUCGAGAUAAGUGGAUGCCAGAGUUUUGAAACCAUUAGCAGUGAGAUAAGACAUGUAUUCCUCCAGGACGCAACAAUCUGAAAUAAUCUUUCCUCUUGACAAACAAAUCCAAGUCAUCCAUCACUAUCAGGGCUUUCUUCGUAUUAGUCUCCAUUGGAUGAAUGCUCUAGUGCUAUUGAGUCCCAACACCCUGAUCAUCCGAUAAAGCCUGCUAGAGUGUGCAGCUUCACAGCUCUCUUUGCAUUUUCCAUCAUCUACUUGUUUACUCUUCUUGGAAGUGCUCUCUGAUUCCUGGCAAACGGAUGCCCACGCAAUGCAGAGACUGGUACACUGCAGAAAGAUUCAAGUUUCUUCACAAAAAUGGACCUACACAACCCUCUGCUUUAUUGUUUUUCCACUUUCAUGCCAACUUCAGCACUACAUGAUCAUCUGAAAAUUUAUUUAUGCAAAAUAUACACAACUAGACUAAAGAAUCUGUAAUAUGCAUGUAUGCUUGGGAUUCAAUACCACACUGCUCACAUUUUAGUGGUUCAAAUAUUAUUUUUACCAAAAUACUUAUAUACCACAGAGUAGAAAUUUAUACAACACUCGAAAAGAUUUAUGUAGAUUCAGUCAUUCACUAUCAUGGAUCAGAGUGAUCCUUGUAGAAAGAUUCAUUCUAUAUUCAUCAUAAUCUUUAUCCAUGUUAGAAUAUUGUGUUUAUUAUUUUAUUUUAUUUCAAAUGUGAAUUAUGCCAAUUUCCCAGAUGUGAUAUGACAUUUCCACAUAAUACACAACUAAGCAGCACAAAAUUUAUCAAGUCAACAAAUUGCGUCAACAAAAAGCAGCUAAGAUAGGUGAGAAAACACCAUCGUAUGAGAUCCUAACUUGUUUAUUCACCACAAAAACUAAGCACAUGAAAAUUUGCCUUAGGAUGAGCUUUCAGAUAUAUCUUUUGAAAGCCGUUCAUAUCCGUAUAUAUUACGUGUAUAAACUCUCUUAUUCUCCAUUAUAAACUUUACACAUGAAUUUAGAUGACAAAAUAUAGGUGGAAACUUGUUAAACACAACUACUAGCACAUGAUGUCUUUUAAAAUUAGUCCUCCCACCUAGACCUAGUGCCUCUCUGUCACUCAUUCUGCAUUUGGAUCAACUGUUCUAUUAAUUCCUAUUUGUUCUAUAUAAAUAUUGGGCCCAGAGCCCAAAGGAAGGAACAAGCCCAUAAGCUAGCCCAGUGCUAGGGAAAAGCCCAUUCAUACAUAGUGACCCGAAGUCCGAUCCGAACCCUUUUUUUUUUUUUUAACAAUGCACGCUUAUAUGCCUUACAAAUUAGUANUAACAAUGCACGCUUAUAUGCCUUACAAAUUAGUAUCCGUUCUAAUAAUUCUCGGGGUGAGCCAGAGUCGAACCCGGUGUCCCGAGACAACAGAGAAUAAGCCCACCGCUAGGCUAUCCAAUCGUGCUCAAAAUUUCGACGUUAAUUUUCAGUUUUAUUAUACCAUUUCUUACACGAACACCUCUCUUUAUUCGAAAUUGCCAACCUAAGAUUACUUUUUAAGACAAAGAGGUAGAUGUUCACUUUUUCUUAACAGUUGAAGGAAUAUGAGAAAAUGAAAUAUUUUGGGAAAUGAAAGAGAUUAUUAUAUCGGAGGCAAAGAAAGCAGGUGAAAAAUGGCCGACGAAAAUGAAAUAAUGGAGGGUAUGGGAGGUUUCAGUGGUAAAGUAAUAACAGUUAGUGAAGCCGUAGAGGAUAUCAUGUUAGUUUGGGGUUUACAGCAACCCUGUUUUUCAACACAAAAUGCUUUUGUUCUUCAAGCUUCUCUCCUUCUCCCUCUUGAUGCUUGUGGUCGCUCUCUCUCCAUUAUUCAGUCCCCUUGUUCUCUCGUAAGUAUCUCCUUUCCCUCUCUUUUUAAUCCAUAUCCUGUCUUAUUGUAAACAUAAUUCAUAUUCGUUUAACGGAAUUUCUAGCGUGUGCCUGGAACAACCACGUUUUAGUUAGGUGUUAGAUUACUAUUGAUUCUUAUCUUAUUAAUAAUGAUGGUCCCGCCGAUCAGAAUCCUCGGUCUAAAUUAAAAGUAGUUGUUAGUUUGUGGCCACGGGGACACACUAGACUCUUCGUUUGAUUCUUAUUAACUAUCAUUCUCGUAACUUGCGAUUUGUUCAACUGAAUCAGGGCACUCCAGGAGUGACUGGAUCAGUAAUGUGGGACAGUGGCGUUGUGUUGGGUAAGUUCUUAGAGCACGCUAUGGAAACAGCACAGAUUGAUCUAAGAGAUAAAAAGGUUGUGGAAUUGGGGUCUGGCUGCGGUUUAGUUGGGUAAUAACAACAAACAUCUUACGCCCACUGCUUAUAUCUGUUGACACAGUCUGUUUCCUUUUUCCUUUAUUCGGGUUUUUAUUCUUUUUAUCAGGUGCAUUGCAGCUCUUUUAGGGGCGCAAGUUGUACUCACUGAUAUGCAAGAUAGGCUCAAGUUACUGAAAAAGAAUGUGGAAGAGAAUCUAUAUGGGAAUGUGCGGGGUUCUGCCACUGUUAUUGAGCUCACUUGGGGAGAUAAGCCUGAUCCGAAGCUCAAUAAUCCUUCACCUGAUUUUGGUAAUUAUCUCUCUCUCUUUUUUUCUUAAGCAAUCUCUUGUUCCUUGGUGUAAGAGUACACAUCUCAUCCUUUGUUUGGUUGGAAGAAAUAAAGUGAGAGUGAGGGGAAGUGGAAUGGAAUUUGAACUAGUUUGUAGACAGCUAGUUUCAACUGGAGCAUCCAAAUAUUAAGUAUAAGAUCACAAUCAAAACUCUAAUAUAUCUGAAAUAAACUGAGCUAAUUUUAUUGGCAGAACUUGUGGCUAUAUAUAGCCUUACAAAGCUGAAACGAUAAAUCCUAAUAACUGGAGUUUAUCUUCAGUGAAGAUAAAGACUCAUCAAACUACUUUAUUCCUAAUGACUUAUCUGAAACAAAAUAGAGUCCUGGAGCUACAACUAGAGUCCUAUAAUACUAAAAUGAGAACAAAACAAUUCUUUCACACCCUCCCUUAAACUAACUGUCAUAACAGAUAUACAGUUAGUUUACAUCUUCCAGUCUGCACACACCCAAGCGACCUCUGAACCAUAAGAAUGCAUCUAGCGGCAGAGGCUUUGUCAUUAUAUCAGCAACCUGUUCUCUAGUUCCACAAUGUAUCAAAUUAAUGACUUCAUUUUGAACAAGCUCUCUUAAGUAAUGAAAACGUACGUCAAUGCGCUUGCUUCUACCGUGCAUAAUAGGAUUCAUAGAUAGCUUUAUAGUAGAACUAUUGUCACAAUAAACCAGAGUUCCCUGAUUGUGAACACAACCAAGUUGUUCGGUAAUUCUCCUCAUCCAUACUGCUUGAAUUGCACAACCUGCUGCCGCCACAAACUUAGCUUCUGUCGUGGAUAAUGUAACAAUAGGCUGCUUCUUUGACAACCACGAGACGACCCCAGAACCUAUCAAGAACACAUAACCAGAGGUGCUUUUCCUGUCAUCCACAUCUCCAGCAUAAUCACUGUCCGUAUACGCAAUCAAAUCUGAGUUUUCUCCCCUGUACAUAAUUCCGUAAUCCGUUGUUCCCUUUAAAUACCUUAGUAUCCGUUUAACUGCUUGUAAGUGAAGUUCAGUAGGUUUACACAUAUACCUACUGACUAAACUAACACUGUACAUCAAAUCUGGACGAGUUGCAGUAAGGUACAUCAAGCUUCCUACUACUUGCUUGUAAAAGGACUCGUCGAUUGUGACACCAUGCUCAUCAAUCUGUAACUUGCAACCAGGAACAAUUGGACUACAAACAGCUUUGCUUUCCAACAUUCCAAACCUUUUCAAAAUUUCAGUUGCAUAUUUCUUUUGGCAGAUAAAAAUGCCAUUUGCAUUAUGUGUUACUUCAAUACCGAGAAAGAACUUCAUCAUCCCAAGAUCUGUUAUCUCAAAAGUUUUCAUCAUUGAAGCUUUGAAAUCAUUUAACAUUGUUUCAUCAUUACCAGUAUAAAUCAUAUCAUCAACAUAAAGACUGACAAUAAGCAUUUUACCUUCGUCGCUUUGCUUAGUAAACAAUGUUUGCUCAUUUGGACACUGCUGAAAACCUUGUGCAAUAAAAUAAGACAGUAUACGACUAAACCAAGCUCAUAUAAUGCCUUAUGUAACUUGUACACUUUAUUUUCACUUCCUUUAAUUUCAUAGCCUUUUGGUUGCUCUACGUAUACAUCCUCCUCAAGCUUGCCAUGUAAAAAUGCAGAUUUGACAUCUAACUGAAAAAUUUUCCAGUUCCUUUGAGAUGCUAAUGCCACCACUGUUCUCACUGUCUCCAUUCUAGCUACUGGUGCAUAUACUUCCCCAUAAUCAAUUCCAUAUUUCUGCGAGUACCCUUUUGCUACCAAUCGAGCUUUGUACUUCUCAAGUUCCCCCUUUUCGUUAUGUUUAGUCUUAUAGACCCACUUAACUCCGACCUUUUUAGCUCCUGCUGGCAAGUCAACUAAGCUCCAAGUGUUGUUUUUCUCUAUAGAUUCUAUUUCGGUGUCCAUAGCUGCCUUCCAAUGCUUACUCUUCACUGCUUCCUCAAAACACAAAGGAUCACUAGACACCAUUAAGGCCAUGUUGACUUCAGAAUCAUCCUCUGAAUUAUCUACAUCUUCUCCUGUCACAUAAUCAUUAAGCCAUGAAGGGGGUUGUGUUUCUCUUCUGCUUCUUGUACCUAUAUUGUCAAUUUCUGCAUCGGGUCCAUUGUCAUUUUCACUGUUGUUGUCCACUUCAUUAUCACCAUCAUUAUCAGGACAGUCACCCCAAUCUAAGGAUCUUGAAAUGUCAUUUUCAUUACUUAUAUCCCAAUCCCACUGUUUUGCCUCAUCAAACACAACAUCCCUGCUUAUUACAAAUUUCUUGGUAAUAGGAUUAAACAACCUAUAACCUCCUUUUGUCUCAUCACUUACACCCAGAAAAAUACAAGUGUUACUUCUAUCAUCAAGUUUAGUUCUCUGUACCUCAGGCACAUGAACAUGUGCAAUGCAGCCAAACACCCGAAAAUGAUCAACUGAGGGACGCAAACCACUCCAUGCUUCUUCAGGGGUAAUGUCUUUCAAAGCUGAAUUUGGGCAUCGAUUCAACACAUGAUUACUCCAAUUAACUGCCUCGGCCCAAAAUAUCUUUGGAAUUUUCUUCUCUGAAAGCAUAGCACAUACCAUGUUCAUUACAGUUCUGUUUUUGCGCUCGGCCACACCAUUUUGCUGAGGUGUGUACGGAGCUGUUAGUUGUCUUUGUAUCCCAUUUUCUUUGCAGAAACCAUUGAAUUCGGAAGAAGUGAACUCUCCACCUCUGUCCGUGCGUAAACAUUUAACUGGCAGCCCUGUUUUAUUGCUUACUAACUUCACAAAACAUUUAAAAUUACUGAAAGCUUCUGACUUAUCAGCUAACAAGUAAAUCCAAGAUUUCCGGCUAUAGUCAUCAACAAAGCAUAAAAUGUACCUCUUAUUUCCAAGGGAGGCAGGUUUAAUUGGACCACAAAUAUUAGCGUGGAUAAGGUCCAAAAUACGUCCAGCUCUCGACAAACUUUUAGUAGGAAUCGGAUCUCGGUGAUGCUUCCCAAUAAGACAAUCAUUGCAGAUUUCGCUCGUUGCAGUGAGCUCUGGUAACCCUGUAACCAUCUUUCUAUGUUCCAAACUCUUCAGGCUUUUGUAGUUUAAGUGACCAUAUCGACGAUGCCAUAAUCGAGUUGUCUCACUUACAUUUGUGAGAAAACAAGUGUCAGUCAUAGUUGGUGAAAAUUGAGAAUGACUUUGUUGAUGUGCAUGCACUUUGAACAUCCUGUUUGCACUCAUCUGGGCUUCUAUAAUAAGUCCUCUAUCGGGAUGAUAAAUACCAUUUAACACAAGCCUCACAUUACCUCGAGCUGUGACAUUCAUUUUGCAAUUAUUCCCCAGCUUUACAGUAUGUUGGAAUCCUUCGAACAUAGUGAAGAAAGUUUUAUCUCCGCACAUAUGAUUUGAACAACCAGAAUCCAAGUACCAUGCAUCUUCUCGUUCUCUCUCGGUCUUGUCAACAUAGGCCAUUAACAAUAUAUCAUCUUCUUCCUCAACCGUUGCAUAGUUGGUUUCGUUGUUCCAAGCUGGACACUCAUACUGAUAAUGGCCUAGUUUAUGACACUUGAAACAUUCUAUAGUCGCCUUUGAAAUAACAUGUCUUCCUCUGCCCCUGCCUCGUCCUCUUGUGACACUUCCCCGUGCAAACACUCUCCCGCGUCCCCUUACAUUAUGUCCAGUAUCAUAAGACACUUUUAAAACUUGUUCCUCUUCAAUGUCCUUCUCUUUGCUAAACUUUUGCUCAUGUACCAGAAGUGAGCUUUGAAGAGCAUCAACAGAAAGGGUAUCAAUAUCCUUUGACUCCUCAAUAGAACAUGUAAUUCCAUUUUUUAGUAAGAGUCCUUAAGAUCUUCUCUACUAUUUUCUGAUCUGCCAUGUCCUCCCCAUAGUUUCGCAUAUCAUUUGCCGUGACCAUCACUCGACCAAAAUAUUCAGUAAUUGAUUCUCCAUUCUUCAUAGCCAAAAUUUCAAAACUCCUGCGAAGUCGGUUCAAUUGAGCUCGUUGAACACGGGCGUUGCCUUGAUAUUUUAACUUCAUUGAAUCCCAGAGUUGUUUCGCAGUCUCUUUCUUAGUGAUUGUUUUCAAAAUCGACUUGUCAAUGGAAGAAAACAAGUAGUUUUUGGCCUUCAGAUCCUUUAGUCUUGCCUCAUCUAGGAUCUUUUUCUCUGCAGCCGGCAAUGCUUCUUCUUUUUCAGGUACUGUAUAACCUGAUUCCACGACACUCCAGAACUCCUUUGAGCGCAGAAGAUUUUCCAUGACCAGACUCCAAUGGUCAUAGUCCCCGUCAAACCUCGGAAUGCUAGGUUGAACGUAUCCGCUAUUUGUUUCUGCACUCAUCUUCCUUUUUUUUUCUCUAACCUGGCUCUGAUACCAAAUAUUAAGUAUAAGAUCACAAUCAAAACUCUAAUAUAUCUGGAAUAAACUGAGCUAAUUUUAUUGGCAGAACUUGUGGCUAUAUAUAGCCUUACAAAGCUGAAACGAUAAAUCCUAAUAACUGGAGUUUAUCUUCAGUGAAGAUAAAGACUCAUCAAACUACUUUAUUCCUAAUGACUUAUCUGAAACAAAAUAGAGUCCUGGAGCUACAACUAGAGUCCUGUAAUACUAAAAUGAGAACAAAACAAUUCUUUCACAACGUGCCAGUAUACCAGUGAAUGUUCAUUCCUUUGGGUAAAACAUCUCCAAGAAUAAGAUGCUUAGCUUGCUUUUCCGUUAUCCAUUCUAUUUUAUUACAAUCAACUAAAGGGAGCAUUUGACAAAAGACUAUUCCUAAGGGCAAGUCCAAUGGAGGUGCUAAGAGGGAUGCUAUAUCUAUAAUAUAGCACACAUUAAAAAAUACACACUCCAAUGGGAUGCUAAAUUUCCAAUUAGCAAAAUGCUAUACCUAGUCCUAAAAUAUAGAACCAAGUGUGGAUGUUUCAAUAAUUGUCACAUAGACAUGCAAGUGGGGAAAUGGAAGGAAAUAACAAGUUUGUUAAUUUUUUGUCAUUUCAUUUAACAGGUGGUUGAGAAGUUAGCUACAUAUAGGUUAUUUGGUGUUAUUUUAAAUCUACCCAUUGGAGUAGAAGUUUUAUUUUAACAUCACAAGUCACUUUUGAUGCUAAAAUAUAACAAUAGCUAUAUGUAUUUUAGUACCACCAUUGGCCAUGCUCUUAGAUUUUUUGAUGUGGACAAUAGAAGUUUGUUUUGAAAAUGGAGUUACGGGUUGCUAUAUGCUUGUUGCUGUAUUUCGAUAUGAUAGUACGACAAGUUUUGUCAAAACGGUAGCAACCUACUAUCCAGUAUGUACUGUAAUCUAUCAAAGCUUAUUCUAAUUCUGUAAUUUGACUAUCCACUAAACAGAAAUUGGCAAAAACUUUCUGUGCUGUUCCAGGAGGUUUAUAACUAACAAAAGGUUUGGUUUACAAAUUUAAGAUACUCGGUUACUCGGCCCUAGUUGGCGCUACAAAACUUUAUUGUGCACACCCAAAACAAAGGAUAAUAUUAUAAAACAUGAUAUUAAAACUGAACACUUUCUGGCCGCUUUCAUAAAGUUUGAUAGACAUAAUAAAUGCUAUUGUAAAUAUAAUUUCAUAGAAUGUUCAUUUGCUUCUGGCAUGGCUGUGAGUCUGGUUUAUAAUCUUUCUGUUGCAUUUUGCAAGGCCCUAAUUACAUAUUUAUGUUCUGUCAAAAAAUAUGCAGUGCUCGGUUCAGAUGUGAUUUAUAGUGAGGAAGCAGUGAUAGAUUUGAUUGAAACAUUAGUAGAACUUUGUGGACCCCAAACAACGAUCAUACUGGCUGGAGAACUUCGAAAUGGUAGGAAUGUCAGAUUUAGUACUCAAUAUCGUAGGGAUAUAUCUAUGCCAGGUAGUAAAAGACUUGUAUGUUUGCAGAUGCCAACCUAGAAUACUUCUUAGAAGCAGCGAUGAAGGUGUUUGUCGUAGGUCGGAUUGGUCAAUCACAGUGGCAUCCAGACUAUUGCAGCUCCCGUGUAGUCAUGUAUGUUCUGGUAAAAAAGUAACUGUAGGGGCAGGAUUAAGAUUAGCAAUGACAGACAUAAAUCUUAGCUAAGCCAUGCAAGAUCGUUAUUCUUGAUAAAGUUUUUGACAAUCUGCCUGGUCUAUUCUCGAACUGUCUAAGAGUUAAUCAUCCCAGCAAGAUUCACAUGGUUGAGAGAAAUUAUCAAUUUUUUCUUUUACAUGCCAAUUUGUUGCUGGAUAUGUAGUUGCCAUUUUUAUUUUUAUUUUUAACAUUUAUGUAUUUUUUGCACAAGACUUUACUUGAAUUUAGCCACCCCUGCAGUUCCAGGAUUGCUUCUCCAUACAAGCACAUAGUUACCAGUUGGUUCUCUACUUCUCUCAUUGCUGCUACUUCUAUAAUCUCGAUCUAGAGAUUGCCUGAUGUGAUUGUUUUAAUCUGACAAUUAGCUGUAUGUCUCUUACUCAUGUUAACCAAAAAAAAAAAAACCUAGCAUGUGAAUUCAAAUUUGUGGUUUGUAGUUUGUGCACAAGUCCCGGUCGCCUGAAAGGAACAUAGAAAGGGUUCAGCAUACUAUAAUGUUGUAGACUUGACAAUUUGGUUCAUGAUAACAUAAUACCUACACGAAAUUAGAUGAUGAAUUUCAUGUCAAAUAUGAUUUUUUGUAUGUCGAUAUAUAAAAAUGAUAGAUAUAGAUAAUAUUUAGAAAAUAAUAUUAAAUAUUAUCAUAUAAAUAUUAUCUAUAACUUGAUUCAAUUGGAUUAAUUGAUAUGAUUUUUACAAUCAAGUUUCAGCAAACAAUAUUUAUAGUCAUGAUUACGUAUUUAUAAAGUGUCUUAUAUAUAUAUACAUUUUACACCUCUUUGUAAUACCCAUUUGUUAGUGGAUUAUGCAGCACUCCGUUCACUGUUAGUCAUCCCACCUUUACAAACAAUAGCACCCAGAAAUUAUCAUUCUCCAUAAAAUUAAAACAAAAAGUUGCUUAUUGUCAAAAAAAAAAAAAGUUGUUUUGACAAUAAUUCCCUUUUUAUCUUAUUUAAUUAUUAUUAUAGGAGAUUCAAGUUGUCUUGAAAAGCUUAUGAGCUGCCACAUAAUUUCUAAAAAAAGGGAAGUUUAAAACUUGAUUCGAUUAAAAAAUAAUAUAAAUUAGACUCCAGUCAAAAACAACGAGAGGUUUGUUUCCAACACAGGUUACAUUUUCUUUCUCCUGAGGUGUAAUAAUACAAAACUAAAUUAUAUUACAAAGAUACAAGCACUUUUACAAAUUCAAAUCAUAGCUUGGUUUUGUUAAAGAAACCAAGGUAAGAAAACCAAGGAGACAAAGAGAAACCUACAUAGAAAGGGUAUCCGCUAAAUAGUGAGAAAAACAAUAGAAACCUAACAAUCAGGGGGGUUUUUGAUGAUAAGCAAGAAAUGAUUUAGCUAGCCAAGUGGUUGGGACAGCUCUCGAACAUGGAGUGCCACAUAUAUGCUCUCGAAAGUACCACCUCAAGCUCCAUAUAAGUCCAGUUUUGGGUUGGGAGGUGUUGAAGGAACAUUACCAUCUCUUGGAAAUCAAGCUGGAGGAGCUUAUCCGACCACUGGAAGUUGAGAGACAAAAACAUAAAUAUAAACAUAAGACCCAAAACUGUUCACAAAAUUGUGAUGGGCUAUAUCUUAAUAGUACAGAAUUGUUGCUAACUCUUAUUAAACAGAAGUCACAGUUCUAUUCACGCGUCCACAACAUCACUAGAGAUGUCUAUAAAACACUUCCAUAUAAGUUAUUUAAUCUUAGACUAGUCGAGCAAUUAAUAAUUUACUUACCGUUAACAAAAAACUGGCGAAUAUAUAUACUAGGAAAUCUGGCAAUGCAUCUCCUUCAGCAAGAUAUGUGUCCCACAAGCGGUUAAUAAGAUGGAAAGGAAUCUAGGAAAAGAAAGUAACAUGUUUGUUAGUCAUUUCAUUAUACUACAAAUCCACAGAGCAUUAAAAGAUGUAUUCAUCUAGUCUUUAAACUAUCAUAUUUGUAUUCAACAUACUAUGCUUAACAUGUUACUUCUCUUUUCUGCUAAAUCCUUAACAUAUCACUUCGUUGCACCUAUCACUUCAAAGCCAUAACUUUGUAAUCUAAUGACUUUCCUGAGAUUACCCCAGGAAUUUAGGAUACUCAUCUGAGGGAAGUAGGCAACGGAUUUGAACGAAAACGUACAUGUUCUUAUUAUACGGUAUUAUGUUGUCUAAUUUGUUUCCAUCUUUGCUACCUUUUAAACAUCACAAUAUACAUGCAUUUUACUACACAGUCGUUUCAUUUGAUUACCCCCCAGGAACAUUAUUUUAUAUACAUAUACGUACACACACUAGCUUAUAGCCCAUGCGACGCACAAGUGACUUGUAGUAUUUGUUUUUUAAUGUAUAUGUUUUAAUAUUUAAUUUGGUUUCGAAGACAUAUUUAUGUUAGAGAAAUAUACGUAUUUUAAUCAAAAUAGGUUUUCAAAUAGAUGAUUUGAGUUUAUAUAUUUUUAUUUGACAUGCUAAAUGAGUUUUUAAUAACUAAGCUCGCCAAAAAAUAUACAAAUAAAAAGGCCCAAGAGAUAUCUUUUAACGUGAUGUUCUGGUGUGUUUUAGUUGUAAUAAAAAAGACCAAUUAAAACAUGUCAUAAAAUAGAAAGGCCCAUAAACCAACUGACCGACCAAAACUUUCAAUAUUUCGGUUUUAACAGAACAGUAUAGUAUAGUGUGUGUGUGUGUGUGUUUAUAUGUAUAUAUAUUCUGCAUUUGUUACCUGAUCUUUUAGUUAAUAAGAAGGCUUAUUUUAAAAAUAUACGAAUUAAAAGGUUUUAUGUACAACAAAAUAGUAUUUCAUGGUUUUACACACAACAAAGUAAUAUGCCGAGAAUAUAUCAUCAGACAUACAAAAUUUUAAAUUUAAAACAUAAUUAGAAGAAAUAAUCUCUUAAGCCAAAAAAAUAUUGAAUCCAUUCAGGCUGUUAGAUUAUACUUGUGCCAUCCGAUCCGAAGCACAACAAGUAGUAAUGCAAACUCUAAGAAAAACUGCAUAGUGAAGACUGACUACCAUAUUAGUACUCUUCAAGUUCAGAAUUUUUCCUAAAUUUUUUCUAUACAAAAUUAUCAUAAAUUGGUAACCAUCAUCUUUAAUUUCAAUUGGUCGGCACAAAGACUAUUAUGUAUCGAAUCAUUUGGCCGAGAAGUGGACACUUGCCAAUUAGAAGACCAUAUAUGAGUUUAACUUAAGAUGACAAACUAAAAAAGAAGAAAAAAAGUCACCUCAUUUGCAAAGUAAUUUACAAAAUCAUUAAGAGUAUAGUAUAAUUGUUAAAUAUUGCUACGAAUUUUCAUCCUAUAUACUUUUUUGAAUACGGUGCGUAAAUAUCAGAUAUCACAAGUCACGCACUCAGACAUGUCUCAGUGUUUAACACUGUACACCCAAGUUGGUGACAUAGUUGAUGGUGCUAUGUUCAGAAUAUGUAAAACUUUAAUACCUUAUGAUGCUUACAAGGAUCUAUCCAACGACAAUCCACUAUAUGCUUUGAUCUCGUCCUACAUUUUUGCCAAUAAAAUAAUCCCAUGAACUAGAAUUGAUUUAAUGUAUCUCCUGGAGGAUUAUCAUUAUACUACAGAGAGGGUGUGGUUAAAACAAUACCCUAAAUUGAGAUAAAAAGUGAUAAUGAAAAAAAUGGCUUGCAUGAUUAAUUUACAGGAUCAAGUAUGGGAAAAUGAGAAGCAUAUAGAAGUCCUCAAUUUCUAAUCCUUAUAAGCCAACUUAGCCUGUGUUAUAUUUAUCAUAAGGAAGGAGUAACAAAAAAAAUAUCAAGAAGUAAUACAUAAUUUGGGAAAUUGGGAAAAAGGAGACGAACCUCACGUAUCAGAAGACAAUUGAACCAGCGGAAAGCAAAUUGAAGAAAUUCAAGACCUUGCUCCUCCAUGUGUCUUGAAACAGGCUCUGUCAAAAAAUUAUAAGCAAUUCAUUCAUCAUCAAUAAGCUAGUUCUAAAUAUGAUGGGAGAUCGUGAAUUAAAAGAAAUCUAUAUAUAUGAAUUCUAAGAACAUAAAAACUAUCAACAUGCAGAAUCAAGAACAGAUCAAAGGAAAAAGACUUGAAAAAAUAUAAUAUAUAAUAUCAAUUUUCUAUACCAUGUAAACUGGCAAAAGUAAGCAGACUACGCAUAAUCAUUCGGCACAUGCAAAUUAGAGUCUGCAAUGUAUGGAUCCUCUUACCACUUCAGUUACGUACUAAAGGGGCUUGCUACAACAGAGAGAUUCCUCACUAGCAUACAGAAACUAUCCUUUAAUGUAAACACACCAUGCCAAAUUGAUCAGAAAUUCACCAAAAAGAACCCCCCCCCCCCCCCCCCCCCCCCCCCCCCCCCCCAACCAACCCAACAAAUUAACGCACCUUAGGGUCCUCCAGCGAUCACCACAAUUAAAGGUACGAAAAUUUAAAAACAAAAAUUAAAAUCUAAAUGAUGUGCCCUAAGUGUAAAAAUGCAUGAUGCAACACAUAUUUAAUUCUAACUACUAUUUUUGGAUUUUAAAUUUUUAAUCGUUUUUAUGAUUUUCAAUUUUUAAAUUUGUUUGUGANNNNNNNNNNNNNNNNNNNNNNNNNNNNNNNNNNNNNNNNNNNNNNNNNNNNNNNNNNNNNNNNNNNNNNNNNNNNNNNNNNNNNNNNNNNNNNNNNNNNNNNNNNNNNNNNNNNNNNNNNNNNNNNNNNNNNNNNNNNNNNNNNNNNNNNNNNNNNNNNNNNNNNNNNNNNNNNNNNNNNNNNNNNNNNNNNNNNNNNNNNNNNNNNNNNNNNNNNNNNNNNNNNNNNNNNNNNNNNNNNNNNNNNNNNNNNNNNNNNNNNNNNNNNNNNNNNNNNNNNNNNNNNNNNNNNNNNNNNNNNNNNNNNNNNNNNNNNNNNNNNNNNNNNNNNNNNNNNNNNNNNNNNNNNNNNNNNNNNNNNNNNNNNNNNCCCCCCCCCCCCCCCCCCAAGGUCAAUCCAAUACCAAUUUAAACAGUUCAGUGAUGGAUCCAUUAAUUUAAUGGUGUCUAAUUUCGGAUAGGGCUUAUUUUGGUUAAUUACUAGAAAAUUUCUCACUUUCCCCUCUAGAAUCCCAUUGUUCCUUCUUCAUCUACAAUUAGUAGCUUAACUUAUUCCUUUAAUCUUUGCAACUUUAAAUACUCUUUCAUGUAAUUUUAUUUAUAAAUGCAUACACAUUUUCAUAUACAUGGCAAUAAUGCUGAGCUAUAAUAUAGACACAUACACGUUUUAUAUACAUGGCAUAAAUGUAGAGCUAUUAUAUAGACACUUCGAAAUCUCAAACAUCUACCAAAAACCUUGAUAUACAUGUUGAUGUAUAUUUCAAGAAUUUCACCAAGAACAUCAGAUUCUGCAGAAAACUCUUUGACAGUAGACGUCCAAAUACAAAAUCUGUUUGACUGGCAUGUGUAACAACAGAAUAGGCGCAAAAGCCUAAUGCUUUCAUAUUUGUCUUAGGUUAAAAAGUUCAGUGUCCAAUAGUUACAUACUUACAAAUAAUUUGGCUGAGAACAUCAUAUCCGAUUCGGGUCAAGUUUCUACUUGCAGGCUUUAGAGUUGGUUAGAACUACAUAUUUUGAAAUCUCUUCUGUUUUCACUAGAGCCCUUCUUUUUAUUAGGUUCAUUUUGUGCUUACACACUUGGCUACCCUCUUCCGAAAGCUCAGCUCAAGCUACCACUAGUCUUUGGCCCGCACCACCCAGGAUACGAGCCACCCGAGAAGAAAGCUAUUACAGCGAGCGGCUGCAGCAGUACCAGACCCAAAUCAAAGUGAUAACAGAUUAUUGGAAUUUCAUUCCAACCAAAUUCUUGAGGGCUUCCGAAUUAAUUUUUUUCCCAAUUUUAGUAUCCUGUCAUUUUCUUUCGUUGAAUGCAAACAUCAUGAAUUAGGAUUGGGGGGGGUCACUUUGUAUGCAGAGUGUUCUUUCUUUUCUGUCUCUCCUCUUUUACAACUCUGUAACUACUUCUAAGUCCAAGAUAUUGCACCUUAAAUUUCCAUCUUCUAAAUUGCCAAUCCUUUUUUCUGUUUUGUUAAUGGAUGAGCCUUACAAAAUCACCUCUCUCUUGAUAAAAGUGAGCCUGUCCAUUACUCCCUCCGUCCCAGCCAUUUGUAUACAAAUGGUUGGGACACGGAGACCAAGAAUUGUGUAUAAAAUGAGUAAAGUUAGAUGAAAAGUGGGUAUAGUGGUGGGACCCAUUUAUAUUUAAUAAUAGAUUUGAGAUAGUGGAGGAAAGUAGUGGGUGUAAUAGUGUUUAUAUUAUUAUAGAAUGGAGAUAGUGGAAGCAAGUAGUUGGUGUAAUGAUAUUUUAUAUUAUAAAAGUUUACUACUUUUGGAAUGUAUACAAUUGGUGGGACGUCCCAAAAGGGAAACUGUAUACAAUUCAUUGGGACGGAGGGAGUAUUAUAAUAAAUAACCUCUUUAAAAAACCAAAAAUGUGAAAAUACUGUUUUGCAACAACAAUUUAAUAAUGUAUAUAGUUAAUAUAUGUUAAGGUACUGAAUCAGGCAAGUUAUAGUUAAAAUAAUUACAAAGGGGAGGGGCAAGAAAAAAACACAUACCAUCAAUGCGUCUAACCAACUCCUUUAGCUUAAAAACUAGUCUCUGAAUUCCCGGUUGAGCAAAAGUGUAAUGAUCUUGCAUGCCCUCAAGCAACUUUGAUAGGCACCAAUAGCAAUCAGCUUCAAUAUUAGAUAUAUCUUCUACAGAUAGAUUGAGCAUUGACCACUUAUCCAAACUCUCUUCUAAGUGCUCCGACAAGAAAACAACUAGAAAAGGGGUAAGAAGAUCAUUUAUUCCCUGAACAUAUCCGCUUGCAGGAUGCCGAAUUGCCCUGUGUAGGAAAGAAACCACAUAAACAAUUAAUUUAAGAAACAGAAAAAGGAUGUUUCGGACAUGACAACAUUGUUCUGAGAGUACAUAUUACACAUCUUUCUUUCAAGAGAGUAAGAAUCAUGUUUGUAGUGUAUGUAUAAUACACUAUUUAUGACUAUCGUGUCCUUGUUAAGCAUCACACUAUGCAGGACAACAAUGGAAAAGAAUGGAAAAACAAAAGUAAGAAAGAUUUGGUGGAUUUACAGUAGAAAACCCACAAAUCCUAAGGUAAUCCGUGAUUCAACCUCAUAAGAACUAUUACACCUAGGGUCUCUAAGCGCAAUACUAGGAUAUCUAAACCGUAGAAGGGAUGAAUUGGAAUCCGUAACAAGAGAGCAAUCGCAGUUCAAUAUCUUCCAAAAUAAAAGAUCACAUCUGUUAUAUAGAAGUGAAACCCCCAAACUUAACCCCACAAAAAAAAUGUAAAAAUAAUUAUAGUAAAGCAAACGAAUCUUUUACUGACAGGGUAUAUAUUUAUAUACAUGUACAUACAUAUAUAUAUAUAUAUAUAUAGGCUCAUGAUCAAAUAGAAACCACUUUUAAAAUAAAAACUAGAAACCAAUACAAGUUAGUGAUAUUCUCAGUACAAUUUAGUGAUAUUCUCUUUACGAUUUAGUGAUAUGUGUUGCACGAAUUAGUGAAAACUUGCAGAAACUGCCCAGAAUUUCUGAAUCUGUUCUAGUUGCCGAUUCAGGUGGUGGUUGCGGUGGUGGAGAUAAUGGAGGUGAAGGUGGAGAUGGAGGUGGUGGACAUGGAAGGAGCCUUUAGCUUUGUCCGGCAGAUUUUUGGCAAAGAUCUGGAAUUUAAAUCGGCAUUAAGCUAGAUAUACGGUACUGUAGGUGAGGAAGACCGAGGUGGAGGUGAGGACGAAGGUGCAGGUGCUGGUGGAGGUGGGGGUGGAAUGGAAGGGGCGGUGGAGGCCGGAGGGGGGUUGGAUUUGGUGGUGAUAUAAAUAAUGGAGGCCGACAUGGAGGUGGUGGCUAUGGAGGGUCGGGCAGCAUGGAGGUGGAGAGAGUAGCAAAGACUUGGCGGGGGUGGUAGGGUGAAGCUGCCGGAAGUGGGGUGGAGGGUUGGUGGGUUGGAGAAGAAGAAGGAGAAAGUGGGGUUGUUUAAGAAUUUAGUGAUAUUCUCUUAAAAAUUUAGUGAUAGUUUCUAGUUUCUAGAAUAAGGAGGUUUCUAUUGGAGUAAAACUCUAUAUAUAUAUAUAUAUAUAUAUAUAAUUUUAUUCUCAUAUUUAUAAUACUUUGUAUUAAUCAGAUUAUUUAAUUAGAGUUUAAUGUUUAUAGCCACUGAUAUGCAAAUCUGAAGUUUGGAAGAAAUUGAGCAAUUGGGGCUUAAUUUCGACUUUUUUUGACAAACAAAUGAUUUUAUUAAGACGAAACGCUUAACAAGACAGAUAUUGAAACCCUGCUGGGACAAAUCCCCGAACUGUCAACUACAAUCUGAUUGUGAAACAAAGAACGAACUGAACAAAUAAUCGUUCUGUUUUCAGAUCACUUAACACCUAGAAUAUUCAUAUUCUCUGAUCUAAAAAGUAUUACAAUGAUAUCUCGAGCAAUCCAACCUACAUCAGUUAUGAAACUAGUAGCUUCGCAAUUGACCUUCACAUAAGCAUCAUCUAUAGCUCAAUGUUCAGAACUAUCAGUCAAAUCAACUGAUCCUGGAGCACCAAAUGUCCCCAAAACAUGAACAAUUUUUUGUUGUGAAAGGUAAGCUCUUGCGGUAUCCACCAUCGUCUCAAAAUCGAUGCGAGUCUUACAGAUUUCCCAAAAUACCGUAUAGAUCCUUUUCAGAAUGAUAACCGAAAGACAUACCAAGACACAUAAGAAUAACAAAAUAGAACAGAUUGACAUCACAAGAAGAUGGGCACACACCGACAUCCCAAAAAUAUGGGCACAACUAACAACCUUGAUAACAAGGUACUCAACAAGAUCUAAUCCAAACAGAUUAGAUCUGGGUUUUAUUGAAAAACUGGUAAAAUAAUAGAGGGGAUAAGAGAGCGAAGAGGUUAAUUGGUGAGGGAGAUGAAGAUCUCGAAGGCGGAGAAGUGACGGCCGAAACCAUGAUAAGGGAGUCGACUCUCAAAACAAGGGAGGAUAGAAUUGUGCAAAUUUAAAAGAUAAGAUGACUUAAUUUCGACUUAAUUAAGAGGAACUUCGGAUUUACUGGACAGCUCAUGAUCUAGCAUCAUUGUUUGGGCCAUAGUUGGAGCUCUAAAUCUAUCAUAAUUAAGCAAUUUUACAGCCCACUCUAAGAUAAUGGAAUUAUCUUCAAUUCUAAGGUGGUCCAACAUAAAAAAUCCAACCGGAGCAGCCCUAGGUUUUUUAAAUGUAAUAAUACUUGUUGACUAGUAGCCAACUAAAGCGCCGUGAUAACCAUGCCAUAAAGUUUCAUCAAAUUUUUGACUAGCUUCAACAUACCGACUAUUGCCAUUUUAUUAAAGUACAUCGGUCCAUCUUGGGUCCAUAGUUCCACAAUUACAGUAUUGGGUAUAUGAGAUUCAAAACAAUCAACCUAUAUAGUUAAAGUUCAAUAUAGUUGUUUUGUUGAACCUUAUUUAUUCUCAAUAGAGUCCCAAACAUGUAUAUUCACGAGUUCUACACAAUAAAAUAAGUUAUUAAUUUGGAUGUACGCAACAACGAACUCAACUAAAAAUAUAGCAAAAUAUAUAGAAAGAUUAUUUUCUAACCAUGUGUAAAGUAUCCUCUCCAACGAUUUUUGAACUUCUGCUUGUUGAAAAAAAGCAACAUCGGGUACAGUUCUAGGGCAAUCAACAGAAAUCUAAGAAAGAAGUUAAAAGAUGAUAAUUUUUAAAUGAGGCUCAGAAAGAUAUAGGCAGAAAAUGUAAGUAUACCAGUCCACAUCUAUAUUACCUGACGGAGCAUGUUAAUUUCUUCAUCGGUACGUUCAUUAUCUGAAACAUCAUAAUAUCGUGCAACACAAUCAAGAUAUUCGAGCCGCUUUCUUCUCAAAACACCCUCCCUUCUAUCUGAAUUAGGGGGUGCAUAUCCCUGUUGUCAGUUCUUAUUUAAUUAAAAAGUCGCAUCAGGAUUAUGCUUAUAAGUGUACAUCUACAAAAAAUAAGCUGCCUAUUGAAGAAGAAUUUAUUUUUCAGCUCACACUACUUCAAAUUUUAAUUUCAAACUUUCAAGUAUACCAUUCUUCUAAGUAGUUGUCAUCUUUCACAUUUUCAUGGCAAACCAAGACUACAGGGGUUGAAGUCCCCUGACAUGCAAAAGAAUCAGAAAGAUCGACAAAACAAGAUGUGAAAGCAACACAUUGCUACUGUUUGGAAUAUAUUUGAUAAUUAAGAUUAGAGGUGAAAUAGGAAAUUUACCAAAAGAAGCCUCCAUACAGAGGGACGUAGAUAUGGUGGGACACCACUCCACGCCAACUCCCGCAACUUAUCUGUACAAGAAACAUGAGCAGGAAGGAGAAAUAUAAUUAAUCCCCAUUAAGAAAUGGCAAAAUGACACUUUAUUAAGCAGCUGGCCCAAAGCAUAAACUCAAUACAAGAGAGACAUGGACAUGCCGAGGACAUAGGGAACUGUCUCUGCAGUUUAGGUGCUACUCUACAGUCUGUAAUCUAUCACUGUGCAACCCACAAAUGGAUAACGUAUGGCAUUCAAUCCAAGUAACAAACUGUCUGCAAAUAAAAACUCAUAAAGAUUUUGAGCUCUUCCAUGGGUUAAAGGUUAAAACUUACAAUAGACAAUUAUUUCAUUCAGACUAGCAAAAUAACUCAUAAACUAUCACCAAACACAACUCUGCAAAGCUUUACGACAUCAUCACAUCACAUAAGUCACUUGUACAUAUAUAAUUUUUACAUGUAUGCUAUGUUACCCCGACUCUUCAUUUUGUCUGAAGUACCCGUGUCGAACACUUGACACUCGGACAUGGGUAUGAACACUCCGACACUUAUUUUAGGCCAAAAACAUGUAAAAUUUUCAGAAUAUUGCCGAGUCCGACACUCGGACACGUAUCCAUGUUGGACACUUUUAGCCGAGUCCAGGUAACAUAGCAUGUAUACAUAACUUACUAUACAAACUCAUAGAGCUUAUUACGAUAGUGUGAGCAAUAAAUACCCAAGAUGACUGCUGGUGCAGAUAACUCUUUAUUAAACUUCAUUAUCCUGGCUGAAUCAGUAGCUCUGGCACCCAUUGUGGACUUCUGCACCUCUUUGGUUGUACCCUCAUUAGUUGAAGUUGAAGUUUUUAAUUUGCUAUUAUCUGAAUCGGUGUUUGUCUUGCUUCCAGAACGAGCUUCUCUCUACAUUUUACAGUUAUGGAGAAGUAAAACAAAAAUGAUAAGACAUAGAUCUUAAAAACACAAACAAUCAUAUAUAAAUCUGUAUCAGCUUCUAUAUAACAGAAGAAUCAUUAUCAACAUUACCUCGACGAAAUCAUCCAUGUUAUAACUUGGUCCACUAUUAGUAUCUGAAGGACUCCUAAUGCCUGGGGACGGCAAAGUUGGGUAAUCAAUUGGAUCUGUUCUCCUUGUUAUUAAAACUUUUCCGGGAAAGCUGCGGCCUUUAAGCAACCUAUACCAACAUUAAAAUGUAAAGAAAUACAAAAUUUAUAUAAGGUCAGCGGACGGACAUGAUUGAUUCAACCUGAUUAUAAGGCAUUCGUGACAAUCUAAGUUCCACUUAACUAAUGUGUAAUGGAAAACUAAACAACCACAAGUUGAAUAGUCCUAUGCUUUAUAGUACUUGAUAAGUAGGUAGGUUCAAGUUUUACAAUCACUGGUAUACGAUUGCAAUGUGAUACUCCCUUCCCCCUCAAUUUUCAAUGAAGUAAUUAACAGAUAACUGCGAAGCAAAUGUAGUAUGUAAUCCGCAAGUCCAACAAAAGUGAAAAAAGACUCUAACGAUCAUUUUCAGAGAUCAUAAUAGCACACCAAUUAAGAACAUAUAAUUGCAUAGCAUAAUUUAAAAAAAGGCAUAAACACAUACAUAGUAGCAGAAAAACAUAAUCAAGUAGACAAUUAAUCAAACAGUCAGUGUGCAAGCAGCUGAAAGAUCCACAAUCAGAUCAAAAAAUAAAACCCUAGAAAUCAAAGAUCAGCAAGUUUUACCCAAAUGGGUAGUCAAAUCUAAUCUAAUAAAGCUUAUCAAACAAAUUACCCUUGAACAUUUCGAAGAGUUUGGUUGAAUCUUGAAUCGAUACUCGAAAGUGGAGAAGUUGGAAUUGCGGAAUGAUUAAGAUUAAGAUCUUCUUCUUCUGCUUUUUUGUUCAUGAUGCCGCUGUGAUUUUCAUGGUGUUAUGUUCGUUUCUCCUUCAUUUGUACACGCCGUGUCUACUAUCACCCCCACUACAAUUCUUACUUUCGGAGAAUUUUACAAUUUUUUCCCCUUCAUGAUCUUUUUAACUUUUUGUAAGAAUAAGUUUAUUCUAAAAAAAAUUAUAAACAUACAGUAUUAUGGGUCGUUCGGUCAUGCUUAAAAUAAGUGAAUUUUUGCUUAAAAUAAAAAAGUUGCUUAGAAAUGAGAAGUUGGUUUUUUAAAUGUUUGGAUAACUUAUACGUUGGUAUAGUUUCGUAAAAUAUGAUAAUUUGUUUCCUAUAAUAAAUAGAUUAUGAUAAUAUAAGACCUUUUAUUAUUAAUACAUGAAAUAUUUUACAAAUACAAAUUUUUAAACUCUGCAUUAAAAGAAAAAAUUGAUAACUGUAGAUAAUACAAGUAAAAAGGUACAUCAUUUAUUUAAUACUAGCUGCAAUUUCAUCACGUUUUGCAUCCAAAUUUCAUCGUUAUUGCCUUCUCUGUCGGAUUCUCCACAGUAAAUAUUGGUGCUUGAAGUUGAAUUUUUCGCCAUACAAGCUUCUUUUUCAACAGUUUGAAAAGCGUUAUCUCCAACUAGGGCUGUCAAAAAAAUCCGAAUCUGUCCGAAAAAUCCGCCACCGUAUCCGAGAAAAAGCGAAUAUUUUUCGUAUCCGAGAAAAAACGGAUAUUAUUUGUAUCCGAAUCCGUGAUAUUCGAAUCCGAAACUAAAUACAUAUUUGAUAUUUAAAUUAUAUAAUAUAUAAUUAUACGUAAUUAAAAUUUUAUGCUAUUAGCUUGUAGUGUGUGUAUAUGCAUUAAAUAAUACAUUUAUACAAACUUUAUAUAAUUAUACAAAUACUAAAAUACUUUAUACAUAUAUAAAAUAAUCAUUUGAGCUUAGUUAUAAAAAAAAUUGUUCGAAAAUCAUCGUCGAUACGGUAUGACCAUCAAAAAUAUCCGACACCCGUCCGAAAUAUCCGCACCCGUAUCCGGGAAAAAGCGGAUAUUAUCCGUAUCCGAAUUAUCCGUUUGACAGCCCUAUCUCCAACAUUUGAUUUCUUAAUAUAACUAUGAACCGUCGUUGUAGCCAAAACGAUAUUUGUUUGCGUAGUUAUUGUAUACAUUGCCAUAUUUGCUAAAAUAGCAAUUAAUCUAGCUUUCCACACUCUAAAUGUCCGCUCGAUAACCAUUCUACACGAUUAAUGUAAAUGAUUAUAUCUUUUGUUUGCAUUUUGCGGUUCACGUGUGGUACCCUUAGCUCAACGAAAAUCUUGUAAAUGAUAUCUUAUUUUUUGAACCCUUUUAUAGAGUCAUAUAUCCUUCUUUACGUGCAUAACCUGCAUCAACAAGAUAAUAUUCAUUUCCGAUUGGAUGUGGAAAAUUAAGUUCAGGAUUAAUUCUAGCCUCGUUCAAAAUACGACUAUCAUGUGCUCUGUCUUCCCAACGCGCUCAUGCAGUAAAACACAAGUUAAAUUCGCAUACGGCAAGAAUAUUUUGAGUGACAUAUCUUUUGCGACUAAAAUAUAAUGUGCGUUCUGAUUCCGGUACGCAAGACAUUUAAUAUGUGUUCCAUCAAUAGCUCUGAUGGCAUCUUGUACUUAGUACAAAUAUAUUAAAAAUAACAUAAAUUAAUGGGUUCAUUUUCAACUAAAUUAAAAUAUCACUAUAAUUAUUACUAUGAAAUGUGGAUAAUAUUUACUUUGUUGAGGUUUAUGAAACUUCGAUCUAUCGUUAUAGUUUGAAGUCGGUGUUAUGUAAUCCCUUGCCAUUCGACGCAGUGCUUCCAAAACAAUAUGAAAAUGGCGGCUAAUUGUCCCUCCAGAAUGGUUGAACGUCUCUUGCAUUACAGCAUUACACGAUUACUUGUCCCGUGAGUAAUGGUCAUUAGGAACAUAUUGACUGCCUCGUAUUGUGACAUCCCACGAAACAAAUAAAACACUAUUCAUUCGAAAAUCUCAAUAACACCGGUUAUCAUUUCCCUCCAUAAUUUCCUAAAUUAAUAUUGAUCUGGUGCGAAUUGAAGUAUGACAUGGCUCUUUCUUUAAGAACGUGUCAUAGUAAUACACCAAAGUAUAGACAGCGGUUGUACUUACAGUUUUCCAUUCACGUAGAUUUUGUUCACUUUCUUCAUCUUCUUCGUCUUCUUCUUCAUCUUCUUCUUCAUCAGCCAUGUGUUGGUUGUUUGUGUUGGGGUACUGGCCUUCAAAAAGAUUAGAAGACUGACAAAAUUGGUUGUUUGCGUUGGGGUACUGACCUUCAAAAGGAUUGGAAGACUGACCAAAUUGGUUGUUUGUGUUGGGGUACUUACCUUAUAAAGGAUUGGAAGACUGACCAAAAGGAUUGAAGCUACCAGAAGAAUGAUUUGCUUCAUUAGAAUACCGAUCAAAUUGAUAAUUUGGGUGCAUUGAAAGGAUUAUGGCAACUAGAGAAUUACCCAAACUGAUUAUUUGGAUUGAAAUGAUCCAUUUGUUUGAAAUAAAAGCACAGAUGCAUUUGUAAUAUGUAUACACGGAUGCAAUGUUAAUGUUGUUAACAUGUGAAGGAAUCUAACUGUUGACAUGUGAAUAAAAGAAAAUAAUUCAUAACAAGUUAGAAAUCCACAGUACAAAGGAAACAGUACAAAGGCAAAUAAUUCCUCACUAGAAGUUCAAUGACAAAUCUUAUCCUGACAAUUCUUGUCUAGGCAAAUCUCUAAAUUACAAAUUUAAAGAUACACCGGAACACAAGCACCUAUCCAUGGACCACUAAAUUUUUUAAACGCAAACAGAAUCUAUUCAUACCGGACUUGGUUGUUCGGUGCUUUCAAGAGAAAAACCUCGAUUGUUCUUGUUAGCCAGAAAUUUUUGCCCUGCAAAAUUAUAUAACUCACUGCCAGGAACAACUUGUUCCAUACUAUUCAGUAUGUCAAAUACUGCAUUCGAGGCGGUAUCUUCAUUAGCUGCCUUCAUUUGUGCAACAAUUGUUUGUGUGCUCCUCGAUGACAUAGUAGAAAAGAUUCAAAAUUGAAUAAGACCAAUCUGAAUCACAUCUCAAUCCAAUAUUCCAAUCACAAAACACUAACCAUAUCAGGAACACAAAUAAAAAGAAAUGAAAUAUAAUUGAAUUCUAAUCAGCAAAUUCACAUAAAUUAAAAGGUACAAAACUUGACUUGUCACAAUUAAAUGGCAAUCUGCAUGUCACAAACACAUUUGUAGAAGGAACCUAGGAGUAAAUGCAAAUAUAGACCAUCAUACAGGCACUUACAACAGAUUGCUAGUAUAUAGAGAUCGAAUCAAUAAACAUAUCUAGAAUUGAAGUUAUUUACAUAUAUAUGUCAGAAAUUCAUUACCCUUGACGGAUGAGAAGGAGAGAUGCAGGUUUAAAAUCGAUUACCACAAGUGAUUUGUUAAUUAAAGAGUAGCUACGAGAAGUAGAGAGGUGGGAGAAUAGCGCCGCUGAAAGAGAGAUCCGCGAGUUCGUUUUCUGUUAGAAAGAAGCUGAAGCUGAGUCCCAAAAAAAAGCUAGGUUUCGUAGCUUUUUUUUCUGGGCUUCUUUUGGUUUAAUUAAGCGCUUCAGAACAUUUGCCAAACGGACGUAUAAAAAAAAGAGGAAGUGGGCUUCUACACAGUUAAGCCCAGAAGUUAUAUUCCCAAACACCCACUAUUAUUUGAUAACUUUUUUCCAAAUUUACAAUGCCGCAAUCAAAAUCAAAAACUAACAUAAUCGAUAACAAAUUCAAUUUUUUUUCGAAAAAAUUACGCUUGACUGUAUUUGGUUGCAAAUCGUAUAAACAAUUGUGUUCAGUUAUUUUUAAAUACAUGCAACAUUUUAUCAAAUAUUUUUAAAAUAUAGUAUGAUAAGAAAAAAAAUUAAAAAAUAAAACUAUCAAAUUUUUUGUAAAUUCCAUCAUUAUUUAAUAUAUUUACUCAACGUGUUGGAUCUAUUAGAAUGUUUGAUGGUUCUUUCUAUGAAAGAUGAAAUCAUGUGCAAUGAAUUUGUAUUGGCUACCUUUAAUGAUAGUCGACAAUUCAUAGAAUAUAUAUUGGAUUCAUCGGAUGAGUCUAUUGAGCAUGGGAUUUACGAAACUCCAUUGCACAAUCGGUGACCUAUUUAGGUGCCAAGAUGAUUUCACUUGCAAGUACAUUAACUCAAGGAGGCUCAUUGAGUGUGAGGGAAACACCAACGGAAUUUGUUACUUAUAACCCUACAUCUAAACCAAGAAAUUCGAGUGAAUUGAGUGCACACCUACAGAAUCCACCUUAUAACCAAAACCCCUACACCUGAAUUAGUUUCAAUUAUAUCACUUGCUAAAUUUGAUGCUAUGCAAUUCAAAGUAUCACAUCUUCAACAGAAAAUGUAGCACUGAAAGUAGAGGUUUCUGAACUCAUGGAGAAUGGAAGAUCUUUGGAGUUAAGGUUGAUCAUCCUAGAAGCUAAAUAUAUUGCUCAAAUGUCUUCUCAAUCAACUUCUCAACAUUGUCAGUAAGGUUACUCAACUAAGGAAGAGAAAGAGAGAUAAGAAAAGGCUCUAGUGAUUGAUAAAAGGAAGGGUAAGCUGGUAGAAGAAGAUACGUUCACAACUGGUGGAGCUGAAUAUGAUUAUGCUACUCAUGAAGAGUAUAUACAAUCUUUUGUCGAACCUGGUGAGGUGAUCAAGAGUGAUCAGGACAAAUGCCACAUGUUAAUAAGAUCUGUGGGGAUGAAUUUGUCUUUCACGAUGACUGUCUGUCAAUGGAUGAAAGAGUGAUUGAUGAUCUAGUGGAAGCAAUUGAUUUUAAAGCUAAAUUUGCUGAAACUAUAAAAUUAAAGAAGUAUUUGACGAGAAAGGGGAGAAGAUGCGACGAAUAAACUGGGAGACGAACGAGACAAAGCAAGGGACUUGUUCAAAUUAUCGGAAAUGGAGGAUGUAAACAAUGAUGCAAGGGUGAACGAUAUCUUUGAAAUAUUUAGGAUGACUCACGAGAAUAUAGAUCACCAUGAAGUGUUAAAUGAUAUCGUAACAUUUGUUAGCAUUGGAGUGCUUAAAAGACACAAUUGGUUGGUAAAUAUGACAUUUGAAAUAAAAGGUCAAAGCCACAGAUUUAGACAUGACACAUGCAAGCUACUUAAAAUUUGUUUCCCACUGAACUCUUUGUAUUAAAGAACAAGAUAAAUUCUGCUAGAAAGAAAUUCAAUGAAGUAUUCAGAUAUAUGGUAGAGAAAUGGGUCGACGAUAUCGGUAUUAAAGUACAUAACAGUCCUCACGUGAUCAAAUACUUCAAGGAUGGGAUAAUUCAGAACAUUAGCAUGAAAGAUGAAAGUCUAUCUAGCUGUAGUCCAAACAUGACAUUUAGAAGGACAACAUAGAAUGAAAUGCUCAAACUCAAAGUAAGGAAGAAAUGCAAUUAAUUUUUAUUAUGCAUGUAAGUCAAACUAAGCGAGAAAUCAAAAUCUCAACAAUAUCAAUCGACAACAACCUUAUCCAUCGCCUCCGUUUGAUCCAUCCAAACCACAAGUAACUGAAGCUCCUGUUGUUUCAUUUAAAUUCAAUAAAAGUCACUUCAAGAAAGAAGAGAAGUUUGUACUCUAACCUUUAACCUUUCAUCUAAAGAUAUACUCAAAAGAUGAAAAGAAUCACAAGAGUAAAACUCUCGCACAUAAAAGAAGACAAACAUAUACUUCGAUUUUUACCGGCACUUCUCAAGUUAAAAGAAGACUAUUAAAAUUAUCCAUAAUACUUCAAAAAUUCAUAGUCAUUUAUCUAGGGUAUUCAGAACAAUUGAAGAUAUGACUUAAAGUUGUCUUUCGAGAAAUUGCGAAAAAUGAGGCAUAUUCCCUCGCUGGUGAAGUUAAAGCAAAGUUUGAAAAACAUACUUCCGAAAAUAUCUUAAAUGAAAUACCCAAGAAUUGAAACAUAUUUUCUUGGACUAAUUUUUAAUUAACAUUCUUACGUUUUAAACUAUUAAACACUUAGAAAGCAUCUUAAAUAAAAUGUCCCAUAAAAUAUAUUACUUUAAAACAUAUUUAUUAAAUAUUUAAAAUUUAAUUUAGUUCAAAAGUAUAUAUAUUAUACAUUUAAUAAAAUUUUAUCUUCAUAAUAAAUAUAUUAUAAAUCGCGAAUAUCAUAACUCAUCCGUUAUGUUAAACAAUAUAAACUAGGGUAUAUUAUAUGAUAAGGUAAUGUUUGGUGUUAUGUUGCAGAUACCAACAACUGUUUUUUUUUGCUGAAAAUAAGUUGAAAAACUGUUUGGUAAAUUUAAAAACAGUGUUUUAGAACAAUAUUUUUUAGCUAAACUAUCUUUAGAAAAAGCAGGUCAUCCCAUGCUUUUGAGCUUUUGCGGGAGCUGUUUACAGAUUUCACUAUCAAAUCUCAUUAAAAAUAUUAUUUUUAUAUAUCAUAACUCAAAUAAAUAAAUAUAAAAAAAUACCAAACAAUUAUUUGAUUUAUACAACAAUACUUAUUUUUGAGAAAUUUACUUUAUUUACAUUUUUUUCAUAAAACAAUAAUUUUUAACAUCACUCUGAAACAGAGCGAUGUAAAUCCCAGGUAAUAUAUUAAUGCAUUGAUGAUUUAUAGCAGCUAAUAUUUGGUAUUUCAAUCACAAUUUUAUAGUAGUAUAUUUAGAAAUUAGUUUAUUAAUUUAAAGGCAGCGAGGCUAAAAAUGACUUAGUACACGAGCAGGAUAAACCCUUCAAGCCUUCUCCCUCCAAGUGGGUGUACGAAGAUGAUGGGAACAGCUGCAGUUGCUACUGCACUCUUUUCGCCGUUGAUAUCUGAUAAGGUACACCACCAUUAAUGAAUUAAUCAGAUUUUAGUUUUGUUUUCUUGCUAAUUUUCUGUACCACCCAUUUUUUUAAUUUAAUUUUGAAUUUGCCCCUCUAUUAUGUUCAAGUAAUUUUUGAGCUUCAAGUUGUUCCAGAUAUAUAACAUUAGGCCCUUCUCCCACUGUUGGGUGUAAUAUAUAAUGCAAUAGUAUCCUUUUCAGGAAUUGUUUUUGCUUGGGUGGAAGAGAACAAACAAUGGGUUGUGUAUUUUCAAUGAUAAAAACAAUAAUCCCACCAAAAAAUUGUAAUAUCACCUUUUUUGAUGAAAAAUACUAUAAUCAGCUUUUACCCAGCUUGUAUAAGAAUUGUGAAGCAAAUCGUAUUGGAUGGUAUAUAUUAUUGGAUGAAUGAAAUUGGAAUAAACAUAUGAAAACAUUCGAAUGGUUUGGUGAGGGAAUAGAUUGGAGGCAUGAUCUCGAGUAAAAGUGUUAAUAGUAUGAUCAUCUUGGUAAAAAAAAGUAUUUCUCGCGAGUUUGACUGUCUACCACCCCCAACAAUUCUCAGAAUUUAUUAUGGGUAUGAAAGUCUACCCAUAUUCUGUGUUGCCGUAUCCGAGUCCGUGCUUCCUAGUUCUUAAACCUCCACGUAAAUCAAGUGAACUUGCAUGGAUUUUAAGAAGUCUGUUUGUUGUUCUUGUUGAGGUUGAAAGCUAAUUCGGGCACUACACUUAUUAUUAUACAACUUUUGCUCAGAGUAUCUUUAGUUCUUUACCAUAUUAUUUUUUCCCUACCAAUUACACAUUAAGGUUCUAUAAUUUUUUGAUUGUAUUAUAAAGCUCUUUCUGAUGAGUUUAUACAACUUAAUUGUUUUUCUAACAGAUUUUUAUCCUCAAGCAGAGUAAGAAUAUCGUAAUUCCUCGUAUGUAUCGUAGGAGAUCAUGCAUUCCUCUUCAGAUGAUUGAUAGAGCCCCAACAUUUCAAGAAAGGUACUACUAUUAUGAACAAAGCAUGUUGGUGAGCUUUGCAUUUCUAUUAGGAAAAAAAACUUACAAAACAGUGUUUCCUUCCUACUUUACAGUAGCAGUAUUUAAUGCAGUUGCACCUACGGAAGUAAACAGUAAACAAAAUAGAUAACUAUGAUUUUACCUUUACCUUUAAAUUAUUAUUUGAACAAACUUUUGUGGUAUUUGGGAACGUAAAGAAGCACUUUAUUGGAGAAGUUGCUUUAUCUGCGAGAAAAAGCAUUUGCAUCUGAUCAGCAGUUCUUGACUUUUGGUAAGAUAGGAAUUAGUUCCUUUUUAGAAAUCUUCUACAUAUGAGUAAAUUACAUAGGUAUGUGUAAGCUUCAGUAUCUAACAUACUGUCAAAGUGUUUUCCCUUCAGGCCUUCACCUACAUUACAACAGUAGCACACUUACUAAAUUUACUUCCCACUAUAUUACGAGCUCAGUUUGCAAGUCAGGUCUUAAAGGUAUAAUAAAAUACUUUUGUCUUCAAUAUUGCAAAUGCUCGUGAUAUCUAAAAGUGGUCUUGAGAAUUGAGACCCAAAUGAGAUACAAAGUCAUAUUGUUGACUUUUUUUAGCCUAAUGUUGGAUUAGUGUGUAAGAAAUAUGAUCAUCGGAAGAAUUCUAUGUUCAGUGUAGAUCUAGUUUACUAAUUACUAUAUUCUCUAUUCUUUCAGUAACUCUUUGUAGAAAUUAAAUUGAGAAGUAAGGAAUCGCUCCAAAACAAGCUGGGGAACUAAUUUUUUAUUGAAGCAACAUUAUACAUAGUAAUGAGAGUGCCUAAUUUAGGCAACCAAGUUAAGAUAUGUUCCUGUCACAAACUUAAUUUUUUUCUGCGGGUUUUGAUAUUCCUACUGUCUGCUGCCUUUUUCCCUAGUAGCCAGUUGCCUUUAAAAAAUUUAAAUUCUGUUUAUGUAUUCUUAUAAAGAUGACGAACAUACAGUGAUAUAUUACAAGUUUGGGAUUAGAUUGGGUGUUGAAUUGUUGAUAGAUUUAUAGUUUUGGACAUGGGAUUUCUCUUCCGUAUGCAGGAUGAGUGCUAAACAAAUAAUCUCUGUCCAAGCUGUCUCAUCAGGUACAAGUUUCUUUUGCUGUAUUUGGUAGUUACUGCCUUAAAACUUUUCAGCUUCUGUUAUUUGAUAAGUGUAUUCUGCGUUCUCUUUUAAGUGAACUUAAAUAUUGAAGUUCCUUCUUCUGAAUAUGAGGAGUUCUCAGUUAGAAGUGAAAAGGAGGGUAACAAACUAAAGGUAAUAACUCUAGUCAUAAAGUGUGACUUGUGUAUAAUAGUGAAUGAAUGCUUCAGACUUUGGAGAUUUAUUUGGUAAUCGCCUUUGUUGGCCGUGAAAUAAAAUUCAUUGCCACUUUUUGAACAGCUCAGUGUAGAGGUAUGUGGUGCUAAAACGCAAGAAAUAUUUAAUGAGGUGUUCACUAAAAUGGUUGCUGCAGCUCAGCCAAUUCCAGGAUUUAGAAGAGUUAAGGGAGGUAAUAUAUCCCAUGACAAGCUUUUUUCCAUCCGCCUUGCAGUUGUUUAUUAGUCACAUAAAUUAAAUUGGAACUUAACAAGGGAGGUAAUUUAUCCCCUGACUUUAUAUUUCAUUUUUUAAUUACUUCCCUUUGAAAACUGAGACCCAAACUAGACAUAAAGUCAGCCACAUUACUUCAUUUGUGAUGCAAAAUCCGUUUUGAUAGUUGUUGAUCAGGACUGUAAAUUGUUGCCCUUCAUUAAUUUGAUUAUGUUACCCCCAUAGUAAUUAAUAUAUUCUGCCUUUUCUGUAUUUGUUAUGCUGCUUCUUCAAUGACUUGGAACUCAGGCAAAACACCCGAUGUAAGUUUCGUAUCCCCAUUGUUUAACUGUCAUCAUUAUAUUGUCCAAAGCAGCACUUUUAGUUAUGAAGUAAAGGGGAAUUCAAUAAGCAUUAUGCAUUCUGAUUCUCUAGGGGGCGUUUGGUUCAUGGUUAAUGUGACCGGUAAACAAGAAUCGGAACCUCAUACCUAUAUGUAUUUGUGUUUGGAUCAGCAAUUUUAUUGUGUGGAAUGGGAACUUUAUUCCCUCUUGGCGGGUAAAUCAUUACUUCCACACCCCUUGGGAUACCCAUUCCCAUACCCCCAAUUCCUAUACUCCUCAUUCCCAUUCCCGAUUACCAUUCCCACACACUAUCCAAACGCCCCCUGUUAACAGAACUAGCAUUUUAACACCAGCAUAAUGCAUUCUGUGAGUUAAGAGAACUAGCAUUAUGACACCAGCAACAUGGUUACAUCUUUGUUUGUAGUUUACAGUAGUUACAUACUAUUCAAGUUUACUUUUUUCAUUUCUUUAUUGAGUCGUCUUUGAAAUCUUUACUGUCAUUGCUCAUACAAUAAUUCCUGUCCAGCAUCAAACUGCCUCAUGUUUAAUCUUGCAAAAAAAAGGAAAAAAGUUACUGUGAGGAAUCAUUGUUUUACCUUGUCAUCAUGACAUACAAACAUGAAACACCUACGUUUUAGCUUUUCUGAUAUAUCUUGAUUAUAAGUUUAUAACACUGACACGCAUGCUAACAUGUGCAUACUUAAUAUUAAAUCUGGUUUUUUCCUCUCUCUUUUUAUAUGCAAGUAGUGUUUUAGCUUUUUGCUCAUUCAUUUUCUGGCAGAUACCAAGGGACAUCCUCUUAGAAGUUCUUGGACCUUCCAAGGUGUACAAAGAAGUAAUUAAGAAAGUUAUCAACUCGGCAAUAUCUGAAUAUGUUAAAAAGGUCGGUGUAGAUUAAAAACUAUAUUUUGUAUGAACCCCCUUGUUCCUUGUCCAACUCAUUUUGACAAAAUUUGGCUAAUGCCACGAGCAUUCCACACAAGUGCAGUUAACUUAAUGGCACAAUUUAUUUGAAAUCACUGCCAGGUCUUCAUCAAUAUUAUAUAAUGCAGUUAAUACCAUUUCUUGUUUUCUCUGAGUAUUAAAAGUAUAUAACUAUUUGGUUUCGAAGUUUUAAAGAUCUUGAAGCCACCUUUCUAUGAUCCUCAUAUAAUCUUACUUUAUCUAUAUGUGCAGGAGAGAUUGAUAGUUGGUAAGAAUGUGCGUGUUGAACAAAGUUUUGAUGAUCUUGAAGCCAUAUUUGAACCUGGUGACAGCUUCCAAUUUGACGCGGUGGUUCAGUGUCAACAAUCAAAUGAAAGUUGAUUCCUUUUUUUAUUUCUUCUUUCUUCUUUCCAAUUAAAUAUAAACAGAAAUAGAAUAAUUAUCUGAUAUUUUUUGUAAACUUGUAGUUCGUAGCUACACAUUACGUCUAACAUGAGAAAAAUAUGAGAAAAUGUGAUAUACUGAAUUCUAAUGUGUAUAAACUACAGACCUACAAAUUAGUAAUCUAUAAUAGAUAUUCAUAAGAAAAUUGGAGAGUGUUUGAGAUUCCAACGAGCUCUAUUAUUGGGAAUAAGUCUUGUAUUACAUUCUUCCCUUUCAAGCUCACAUUAGUCUUUGCUCCUCUUCAUCAUCGCUAGCAUCCUCCACUAUUCCCUGUACAUAUUGAUCAUCUUCCUUCCGAAGAUGCUUCUACAACAAAGACUUGGGGCUCAUCAAUCUACAGAGGGAGGUCCCUCGAUAAGAAUCAUACAACUUGGGGUAACCACCUUUCUCCAGGUGAUGCCCACUCCAAUUAUGACGCUCUCAUUUAAAAAUUCAAGCAGGUCUUCAUCUGGGUCAAUAUUUACCUUCAAUUUUGAGCUGACUUCAUAUUUCUAUUAGAGCAGUCCCUUAAAUCAUAUUGGCAUCCCUUGAUAUAUUAUGCGUUCCUGGGGCUUGGUAAUUUCAUAGAUAGAUGAUAAAGUGAAGUAACAACCCUUAUCUCCUUCAAGAUAGGCGUCCCAAUCAUAGAACUAUAGUAUAUUGGUGCAUCAAUGAUCAUAAACUCAGUUAUCUGUGUGGAUGACACCGAGUCUUUAAUUUUAUCAUACCCUUCACCUUUACCGAGUCGCCUGUGAAGCCAUGCGAAUCAUCUCCUUAUCUAGAAAUCUAAUCUUCUAAAAGUCUUGUAGCAAGGAAUUUCACAGACCUCCCAUAUCCUUGAUCAAUAUUCACAUUCGAAACCAGCACAUUGUUGUGACGGUGAUGCACCCACACCAGCAAGAUUAUCUGUGUAUCCUCCCCGCGAACAACUUAGGAGGCCUCUCAGACUUCUGAUUAACUGAUUGGUGACUGCCUAGCCUCCCUUGCAUAUUUCUCAGACUUGAACAUAAUCCUUCUUUGCCUCUGCCUCCAGAAUAAUGAACUCAGACUUGCGAAGAACAAAAGAUACGUUUAGCUCUUUUAUAGAGCUCAAGUCAUCUCAAUUUGUUUGCAACUAAACAGAAGUCAGUACUUGAAAUUUUGCCUAUUGUCAUACCAAACCUAUGCACCAAAUCUAGCCUAUUUAGCUUGACUGAUGAAAUUUAGGAUAUUAGCUGACAAAUUCUUCAAUUCAUUUCCUGAACAUAUUAAUAUGAAUCUGAAGUCAUUCUUCAUGUUGUUUCAGAUACAUAUCAUGAACCACCUCAGUAAUUAGGACACGUGAAAUACGAAAGAUAAAUAUAGUUAACAGAAAAAUGAAUCAAAAAUAUAAUAUAUAGGAUAAGUGAAUAACCACACUUGAAAUACUGUUCUAUUUAAGCAAAAAGAAAACAGAUUCCUCAAGUCAUCUUUCAGUCUCUGCAUCCAUGCGCUCAAUCACUCUACGUGCUUCCUCCUCAGUAGCUGGUACCACAUUGCGUAUUUGUUGACCAAGGGACUCUGUACUUACAGUGAAUGUGAAGUAGAACUUGUUGGAUACCUGUGAGGCAGAAAGCAAAAACAGAUUCACAAUUUUAUCAGAAACUUGGCUGCAACCCAUAUUAUGGUUAAAUAAAAACAACGAAAACUGCAAUAUUUAGUAAUUUUAAUUUUACACAGAAGUCUUUGGUUGAGCUGAGUUAAAACUACAACUAUUACAUUUGUAGUUCAGCUGUAAGAAAACUAGAUGGCAAUUAACUUCUGCGAUUUCAUGCCUUUUGCAAGUAUCGAGUACAACAGGCCAAUAGAUGGUUCAGUUGAAAAUCUAAACAACCGACUGAUUACUGUGAUGCACAAUAGGCAUGUUUAACAGGGACGUAAACAAGCUCACCUCACUGACCCUCUUUUCAGGCCGUGUUACAUGGGCCACAACUUCGACGUUUAUAAGAGGUUUCUCAGGGUUUUCAAGUUCCGUAUACAAAACACAAGACUUGAAUCGAAGAAAAUUUCCAACAUCCACCUGCAUUAGUAGAUCAUAUAUCAAAACGAAUAAGAAAGCAUUUUUCAAAACGCUUCCGCUAACAGCUUAGAGUUCUUCUAGACACCAACGUGAAAAGAAUAUAGAAAUAAACUCUAUUACUACUACUCAACCUUUUAUCAAGAUAAUUUUAACAUGAGAAUGCUAGAAGGGUAAAGCAUAGAAAAACUGCAACUGAUUAAAAGUGAAUUAUCUGCGACUACUCACAGGCUUUAAAAAAUCAACAUGGUCAACUUCAACAAAGCGUGGUGCACUGCCUGCAAAUGAAUAAGCUGUUGCAAAACCCAGUUCGAAAGCCCUUCGCAUCAAAAAACCUCCAAAAAUCCGGCCAUGAAUGUUCCUUUGCUGUGGUUGGCAAAUCAAAGAAUUGUGAUGGCAAGUAUCCGAAAUGAGAAUGCUGUUUCUAUCAGCCAAAGCUGGCAUGUCACUAAAUAUUCGCCCUUCAGACAACAAUGCAUUGAGCCUGUCUACCUCUCCAGCGCCUAUCUUCUCCUGUUCUCUUCUCUUCUCCUUCCUCCUUUUGUUCCUUUCUUCUGCUUCUUCCCAGAGCAAUCUUUCAUUUUCAGUUUCGGGCUUCACCUGAUUAAUUUGUGCUGACUUUCCCGUAACAGGAUGACGAGCAACAAAAGUAAAAUUUGCCGUAAGAACUACUGAGUCCGUCUCAUCCGAUCCUUCUGCAAACCAAUGAAUCUUAUCAAAGAAAACAAAUAAUCUAGUAAUUAGUUAUAAUCUGGUACAUAUAUCCAGAUGCGAAUCCAACCGAAGAAUUUCUAAGCAGAUGAAUAUUUCAAAAGUAAAGAAAAAGGCAUAACAUGGUAGUAAUACUACCUUUUGCGACCUGAGUGACGAGCAAUUGAAUUUCCAUAGACGAACGUCCAACCCAAGUGACAGAACCAACAAUUGUGACAUCCCUUUCAACUAGAAUUGGUUUCUUAAGAGCAAUCCUGUCGACAGAUGCCGUGACUAAUAUUAGGGGGCUUGUUAAGGUGUCAUCACUGGAACAAUGCUGGUAAUGAGAAAAAAAAACAUUAAUACACGAUUAAUGUUUAAAAGAAAUCGGAUACCAAACAGUCCAAUGAAUGAAUAAUUAAUCCACAUUGAAGCUGAGAAAAUGAUUAAUUAUGAAAAUGUUGUUAAUUGACGACAAAGCAAUGAAAUGUAAUUAGAUGGUAAAAAUUAAAAUGAAGGAGAAUGAAAGUAGUGUAGUUACUACUUCCUCCGUCCAAGCAGGAAGUAUACAUCGGGGACGAGGACUCGACACGCAUUUUAACACUCCAUUAAACUAUAAAUACGGAAGUAGACUUUAUAUUCAUCAUAAAAUACGUGUCAAACAUCGAAGAAAAACGAUAUACAAUUGGAUGGGACAGAGGGUAUACCUUAAAAGAAAUGGUUCCGGCAAGGGCGUCGAGAUCUUCAACCAAUUUGCCCAUCCUCAUCCUAUUCCAAGGAUUCCGAUAUUGUUCUCUAAGCAUGUAAUCCGUGGAGAAUUUAUAAACAACGCUGGUCCUGCUUUUCGAGGGGGAUUUCGCAAGUACUUGUGUAUUAUUAUUAGUAUUGUUAUUACCAUGAGCUGGAAUUUUGGGUUCAUAAAUAUUUGAUCUAGCUUCCCACAAAGCAUUGGUUACAGGAGAAUGGUACAUUCCGGGCCACAAGCUAAUCGGCUUUCGUAUCGAAGAACCCGCAUCAAUGGGCUCAUCGGAAUCACCGUUUGGUUUAGCAGAAUCUGGGUGUGGUGGGGUGGUGGUUGUGGAUGAUGAAUACAGCUUGUUGUUGCUGUUUUUCCAGAAUAUGGGGUGUGAAUAUUGAACAUGCUUGUGGGUGAUUGGGGGUUGUUUUGGUUUUGGGAUGGAGGAGGAGGAUUUGUAGGAAUUUGCAGCAAAAAGAAUGUUGAAAAAUGGUUUCUUUGUUUUCAUUUUUCCAACCUCCUGCUCACACCAUCUGUUUCUUGUUUUUAUUCCACUGUCAAUUCCUUCUAAUUUUCCCUAAUUUGGUGGCGCCCCUCUUUCUUCCAUUGUCGUACAACAUAAUAUUAUAAGAGGCCGUUUGGUUAGGGGUAACUGACAAAGGGAAAGGAAAACAACCCGUCUCAUUCCCUUUGUUGUUGUUUGUUUUAUGAAAUCUGCCAUUCCCUUUGCUUUGUUUUGGUUUUAGGUUUACCCCAGAUCCCUCCUGAUCCAUUCCCCACCCCCGACCAGGUAUUUCUUUUCCCUUUCCUCAUUCUUAUUUUAUUUUCACUUAUAAUUUAUUUCAAAAAUCAUUAACACUAUAAAAUAAUAUGUAAAAAUAUUUUUGAAGAUCAAAAAUAAAUUUUAAUUUAGUUUUUACAUAUUAAAAAUAAUUUUAAUAUAAUUUAUAAGUCAAGAUAUUUUUAAAGUUAAUGAAAUUUUUAAAUGAUAAAAUAUAUCAAAUUAUAAACGUGAAUAUAUUUGACUCUUUUGAUAUUAUUUAAUAUUUAAAAAUUAAAUAUAGGAAUAAUCAUAUAAAUUUUCAUUCCGUUUCCAGAUCAAAACCAAACAGGUAAUACAAUUCAGCAUCAUUCCUUUCCUUUCUCUUCGUUUCCCUUUCUGAAUUUCAUUCCGUUUCCUUAACUCGAACCAAACGGCCCCUUAGGGUAUUAGAAACACGAUCAUUUUCUCGAGUUGGGCUCUAUAAGGACAAUUAUAUUUAGAGUCAUUAGAGACCUAUGUCUCUACCGUUGGAUGGAAGACUAAGACUAAUCUAAAGGCCAGGAUUAAAGAUUUAUAAAUUAAUUAAAAUCUUUACAAACAAAACAGCAAGCGGAAAAAAAAUAUCGUAUACGAGAUUGGCGGGCUUAUCUACAGCAAUUACGUUUUUCAAAACCAAACAGGUAAUACAAUUCAGCAUCAUUCCUUUCCUUUCUCUUCGUUUCCCUUUCUGAAUUUCAUUCCGUUUCCUUAACUCGAACCAAACGGCCCCUUAGGGUAUUAGAAACACGAUCAUUUUCUCGAGUUGGGCUCUAUAAGGACAAUUAUAUUUAGAGUCAUUAGAGACCUAUGUCUCUACCGUUGGAUGGAAGACUAAGACUAAUCUAAAGGCCAGGAUUAAAGAUUUAUAAAUUAAUUAAAAUCUUUACAAACAAAACAGCAAGCGGAAAAAAAAUAUCGUAUACGAGAUUGGCGGGCUUAUCUACAGCAAUUACGUUUUUCAAUUUAUCCUCUACAAGAUGAUCGUGAUUCUUGCUGAUUUUCAUAUUCACAUAUCUUCCUGAUUCUGAGAGACAAUGCAGGACAAUAGCGGAGUUAGGCAGAGAGCAAGUGCAAGCAUGAGUCAAGGUACGGAUCUCUCACUUUUCUUUAAUCAGUUGAAUGCUGAUAUUUGUUGUGUGUUUGGUAUUUGUCAUGUGCAAGACAACUUUAUACGAUAAGGCAUACAUAGGUUGAUGUUAUGAUAUGAUUUGUCUAGCUUUAUGUAGGAUCACCCACCAUUUGUUUGACAAAAUUCCGCUAAGAAACAUUUUAUCUUGUUCUAGUUCUUCUAGUUUGAUUUUGUACUACUGACCGAUUACAUGUUGAUUAUCCUUGACAUCCUCUGUAAAGGAUGUCUUGUUCAACGGAACUUGGUAUAGCUAUAGCAUGAUAAAUAAAAAAUCGGCAGAUUUCGAGUUCACUCCUAGGGAUUUUAUAGCCUUGAAUAAUAAGGAAUGCAAUUUGUAUUUUCCGGUCUAUGUUUUAAAGUGCCAGACCCGUAUAUUGAGGAAAAAAACAAAUGUUAGUCACUACAUUUUGUCAAAACUAUGAUGUCUAGUUUAGUUUGAGAUCAGUUUUUCAUGACUCAUUGGACAUAGUUUGAGAUAUUAUGACUUCUAAAGUUUAACGGUUACGUUGCAAAAAUUAGUAUAUAUGGUCCUCAAAAGACCUCCCAAUUUACAAACUGCUUUUUUGUCAAAAUUAUAACAAAUAGCCUUGGUAUUCUGAGGCCCGUGUAUAUGUUACUCUGUUGCCAAAAGUGUCAUAGUUUUUUUCUAGUAUGUUAACAAUGUAGAGAUUGAUUUCUAAUUGUGGAUUAUAAUGUGACACGAACGUCCUAACACAGCUAUACUGAUAUCCGAGAUAAUUUUAGAAUAUACAUGACAAUUUUUAUCCAUCAAAAUAAUAAAUGGUGAUUGUAUUUAAGAAAAUAAUUUGUAUAUACAAGUAAACUGUCAGAAAGUUUUUGAUACUAAAAAGCUACUGUAUCUACAAUUUAGAAGUAUAUUUUUUAUAUAUAUUUUGAUGUAUGCGUAAACUAUUUGCAACGAAAAGACGAAGAAGCAGUAGGCUCAAUUGUUCACCGUGGUUGAACAAAGGGACUAAGAGGCCUCCUGUAUACGUGGACUUAGAUACGGAAGAGAGGCGUUCUGUUGUGAAUAAAAAAGCAAGGCAUCUAAAAGAUUCUAGUGUAGAAGAACUCGAAAUUACUUUUAGAAGGAACAUAAACUGGGGUAGUGGCUUAGGGAGUUCGAGGAAGCCGGAGAGUAAGGAUUCUAAAUCCAGACAUUCUAUAGUAAUCAGUCAGGAUGUUCGUCAAGCAGUGUCCAAAGUGAAUGUUGGAGAUGGUAGUGAUGACGAUGACUUUGUUACAACUCUGGAGAAAUUUGGGAGCAGCAGUUUGGUUAACGAAAGAGGAACGACUAAUUCAAGGAGGAAGACAAGGGGAAACUCGAAUAAGAAAGCAAUUUUUGCCCUUGUCAGUGGCUUGCCGGAAGGGAACACAACAUCACAACAGAGGAUAACAAGGAGUAUGAAAAAGAAUGCAAAAAGGAAUGAUCGGAAAAAUACAAAGAAUGCCUUUGGGACUAAGAAUCAAUAUGCAGCAAAGGUAUUUCAACUUUAUGUUGUUUGAAUUUUGUGGACACUAAUGGUCACACAAAAGUAGUCUAAAAGUGCAAGACAAGCUGAAUUAAUCUAAAACUGCAUAGCUUUUAUCUUGUAUUUUGCAAACUAGUUUAUUAAAGUGCAAGACAAGAUGAAUUAAUCUUUUGUCCUGCAUUUAAUAUUAUUUUACAAUGCAAUUUAUAGACUUUGUCGUCUUAUCUUCUUAUCUUUUUUAUCUUUAAAAAGUUGUUGAAAACAAACUUAUUAGGUCGUGUCUUUCUAAUAGGGUGCCAUAAUUGUUCCUCUUGUGCAUGUUUUAGUAAUAUGUGAAGUAGACUUGCUCCAAUACUGAAGAAUUUUCCAUAUCUCUACUUGAAAAGCAAAUUAUCAUACAUUGUCCUACAAAUAGUAGUCGUUUGUCCUGCAUAUAAUUUGUAAGGGUUUCUUCGGUUAUCAAAGUGCAUUGCAGAACCAUGUUAUUUUUUUUUGCUAAAUCGUAAUCAUGUAUCAUGUGAUGCUUUCCUUAUUCUUUAUAAUGCAAGACAAUUGAGACAGGCUGUGUACUUGUAUCUUGUGGUCAUACCGUGGUGGUUAUAUGCAGGAAAAACUUUCGUAAGGAUUGUCUAGCAAUUUAAUAUUCUUCGGGAUAUAUGCAUAACUUUGUUUUUUAAAUACAGGGUGAGGCUGUUGGCUACAAAGAAGUUGUAAUUAAUGAAAAACCACCAAAAAAAAAGUACGCAGCUAUGACAACUACAUUCAAAAGAAGUUCUCGCCAGCUAUAAUGCGAGACAUUCUAAUCAGUCUAUCAGAGGAACAAGUUGGCUGGGUAAAACGCACUGGGUUUGGCGGAAUCUUGGAUAUGAGGAUGGAAAAAUACCCACAUAGACUGGGAUAUAAUGUGGUAUCUGCAUUUAACGUGGAAGAAUGCAUGUUGAGCUUGAAGGCAGGCAAUAUAAAGAUAACUAAAGACAUUGUUCACAAUAUAAUUGGGCUGCCAAGAGGUAAGGAGAGAGUAAUAAUUUCCAAAGAUAAAGUAGCAUAUGAUUUUUAAGGCCUUCAAUUUCCUGGAACGCUAACAUGUAAGGUGUAACAUAACAUGGUGAAGAAAAAGAUUCUAGAUUCACGGGUGGCAGCAAAACAUUCAAGUUAAAUUUUUUGGUGUUGAUGCACAACUUCUUUAUAGAAGGACAUCAGAAUCGACAUUUGAUGAGGGAUAUAGUGUCUUUUUCCGAUGAUAUUGAUAACUGUGCAAAUUACAACUGGUGUGGCUUACUUAUCGAGAAGCUGAAACGUAAACAUGCUUUCUGGAAUGAGGAAAGGAGUAGAGACUUCACCGGCUCACUCCCUUUUUUGAUUGUAAGUGAACCUACUAUGUAAAGCAUUAAAAUUAAGUUUGUCCUCUACUAUAUGCUAAUUGUAUCUUUAAAUUUGUAGUAUUUGUACGUAAAUCAAGUCAACAAUGGGAAGACUAGCACAGUUUCUUUGCAGACACCGGCAUAUAAGGUCCGGUCAAAUAUGUUACUGUUGGAGAGGCAGAAAUUUGAGUGCAAAAACGACUCUUUCGGGGUGGGACACAUAGGCGGAAAGGAGACAACGACUGUGGUAAUGCAUGAUGCAUUUUGUUUUGUUUUUUCAAAGGCAAUAACAUAAUUUAGUUUAGUGGAAGACAAAUUUAUUUUGUGCAGAAUGAGAUGAACCAGAGAGUGGCACAACAAGACAAGGAAUUGCAAGAGCCUCAACAGGUCGGGGAUAAAGAGGUAGCUAUUUUAUCCCGCUGUUUAACCAUAUCCUGCAUCACAUAGUACAUGUAUCAAAAAUAAAGUCUAGUAAUUUGAGAUUGCUGAGUCCUUGGUCUGAGAAUAAUUACUCAACAAUGUUACAAAAUACAUAAUACAAACUACUUCAUCUGAA